rnacentral:lncRNA from 1 species
UUUCAAAUAUCUUUCUAUCACCCGUCUGUAUAUAAUACAAGUUCACACGUAUCUGCCUGUAUGGUUGAAGUGGCUAUGAUAUGUAAGGGGGUUACAUCCUUUGUGAUAUCAUUUUAGUCAAAUCAAUUAUGUGUGUUUUUGUGUUCAGUCUAUAUAUUUUAUAUUAUUUCAUCACAUAUCAAUAUUUUCUUUUGUCGUUAGGUUCUUUUUUCUUAUUUAAUCUUGUUUUUUUUUCUUCUACUAGAUAUAUGUUGAGGCAACAAACCCAGAUGCAUGAGCUAUCCUUCCAUGCUUGAUCAAAUUCAAAUCAAUGAUUUUGUUUUGGAUUUCUACACAUUAUCAAUUAUGAUUUGCUGCUAAACACUUAGUUUUUGCAAUGUUCACGACAAAUUUGUGAUGGGUGUGAUUCUUUGAUUUAAUAUGGAGACCAGGUAAGCUUGGAAGAAAUAUAAUUUUGUUUUAAUUUUUAACUAAUAUUAAAUUAAUAUAAUAAAUAUAUUAUAUUUUUUUUGUGAAUUAAUUUUUUUUUAUUUUGAUGAGUAAAUAAUUUAUAUAAUUUAUUUAUUAGGUAUUCUUCAUUAUGUUUUUCAUCUUUUGUUGAGAGUAUUUUAGAAAUUAGGAUAAGUUUAAAAGAAGUAAUUCUUGAACUGAUUUAGAGUCGAUAAUGUGUAUUUCGAGAGUUUAUGUUAAGAUCGAAUGUGUGAAUUUGUAGUUAUCUUGAUUGCAUAUAGGAUAUGUGUGCUAAUUUUUCUUAAGGUUUGACAAUUAUAAACCUUCAUGGUUUCUUCAAUCUUAUUGAAAAUGAAUGUUCUUCUGUUACGCAAUUACAUUAUUAGAGAUUAAGAUCAUUCAAUUAAGAUCAUACUCGUGUUUAUAUUUGACUCAACAAUUUUUAAAUCACAUAAUAUUAUUAUGGCAAAUUUUCAAUAAAUACUUGCAUUCUCUCCCAUGAAUUAUGAUCCUGGGAAAUAUGUGCUUUUUACUUCACUUGUUUUAUUAUCUUAUACAUUAUUAAAUGUCUUAAAUAUUAUUUGAUGCGGCACACAUUUAAACGUAAAGAUCAACUUGUUAAAACUUUAUCGAAAAAAAUUUCUUUGAUAUUACUGUUGGAAACAUUGAAGUCAAUUAUGAUUUUGGGCCACUUAAUAUUGUCUAAUUGGACUAAUUAACUAAGCCCAAAUCAUGCUCAAACUGUCCAAACCAGAAUGGGAUUAGGUUUUGGUAUUUUAUGAGUAUAAAUAAUGUUUUUUUUUUGUUUGAGACCAAACCAUCUAUACAUUCAUCCGUUUUCAUAUUUUGUUGUUGAAAAAUCAAACUCAACGGAAGCUAAAUUUUGUAGAUCAAUUCAGUAGUUAAGGAUCCCAUUUUAUAUUUUCAUAUUUGUAUGUCUAAUGUCAAUAUCAUUUCAAUGAUUUAUUAUCUUUUGGUUUUGAUUUUCAAUAUGUUGAUCACAAUAUCUUCCCUUUAAUUUAUGUUGAAUGCUUUUUUCAAAUUAAAAAUCUAAUUUCAGGAUCACACUUCAAGAAAAUCUAGAAUUUGAUUUACAAUAAUUUUGGAAAAAGCGUCAUAAAACCACAACUAAUCUAAAUAUUAAAUCAAAUUAAACCUACAACAAAACAUUACAAAUCUAAAUAUUGAAUAUUGAUAUAAAUCAAGUGUCUAAGUAAAUGAAUUUGAUAAACCUAGGCAAAAUUGAACUUUACAAAUCUAUGUAAUUGAAAGAAGCAUUCAACAUAAGUGAAAGAAAAUAUAUUGUAAUCAACGUAUUGAAAAUCAAAUGGAAAUAAUAUUAAAUCAUAGAAAUGAAAUUAACAUUUCUAAAUUCGUACCUCAAAAUAUAAAAACGGGAUGCUUAACUACUAAAUUGAUCUACAUAAUCUAGUUUAUGUGGGGUUUGAUUUCCCAACAACAAAAUAUAAAAACGGCUGAAUGAAAAGAUGGUUUGCUCUCUAUCAAAAAAAACCUUAUUUAUACUCCUAAAUUACCAAAACCUAAUCCAUUCUAUUCUUGACAGUUGAAACAUGAUUUAGGCUUAGGUAAUUAUCCCAUUUAGGUAAUAUUAAGUGGCCCAAAAUCGUAAUUGACUUUAAUGCUUCAGAGAUUCACAUUUUUUUUUUACCAUAAAGACGUUUGAAAUGGGCUUUUAGUAUAAAAAUGAAAGUUGUAUCUCUAUUCAUUUUCUAUAUACCACCAAUUGUUUGAUUUGUAAACCCAACUCAGUGUUGUUCAAGUGAAGGGAGAUGUUGUUUAUGUUUUGUGCAAGUGAUAAAUUUUCCCAAUGCCUUCCUUCUGCUAUAGAUAUGGUAUUGAGAGAUUUUGGUAUUUUUAGCACGUUAUGAAUGAGUUAGAUAUAAUGGACGUCUUUGAUCACAAAGGGGCGACUUAGGUUCAAGAAAUCAAUUGAUGUGGAUAUAUAACAGUGAUAGUCUUCACAAUUAAGGGUUAAGAAAUCAUUUGGUAAGUUUUUCAAAUAGAGGCAAGAGAAAGAAUAGAGUAAAAUAUAAGAGAAAAGGGUUCUAAAGGGAGAAAUAGGAGAAAGCUUGAAGAGGCAAAGAGAAGAGGUAGAUUAAAGCAUAGGUGGCUAGCUUAUUGGAUUAAGAGGUAAGAGGGAAGAUUUUUUUUUUUUUUUGAAUGGCAAAAUAUAUAUAUAAAAAAGAAAAAAACCGCAAUAGUUAUAACAAAAUACACAAAAGGAGCCAACAAACGACUCUCCACCAAACCUCCACAAAGGAAACAACACAAUACACCCCACAGGCGGGGCCAGGCCGAAACCAAAGAGAGAAAGCCCCAGAGAGGGCAAAAGCACCAAAAGAAAAACGCACCAAACGCCGAUUGUCAACGAAAGCAGCAAACACCUGCAAGCACAAAGAACAACAAGAAAAAACCCCAAGGCCACACCAUAAAGGAAGGGGAGAUACAACCCCACCAAACCCAACAGGUAACCCAACAGGCAACCCAAUAGAGGUAAGAGGGAAGAUUAUUUUCACAAUCUAGAAUUUAUGAAAAAUUAAGUGGUUGUAGAUUAUGCGUGUUCUUAAGUUUUCAUGAAUUUUUUUGUUGAAUUAAGUUAAUUUCGUGCCCUAAUUAUUAUGAUUAUUUUGAGUAUGUGAAAACUUGUUGUUGUUUCAUGAGAAUCCAUAUUUCAUUAUAAUAAGUCGGUGCUUAUGGGUUUUUAGGUUAAUUGAACAAAAUUCAUGAAGUUGUUGAUGAAUGAUGUUAAAUUUAUGUUGUACUUCUUCUUAUGACAUAGGGUAUGUGAAGGUUAUUUUCCCGUCAUUUUUAAGUGAUUAUGUGGUGUUUUUGAGUUUUUGAAAAAGUGUGUGGAAAAUCAUGAAUUUGGAUAUGUGAAUGAUGUUUUGAUGUAUGUUAAGUGUUUAUAAUAUAGUGGACGACCUAGGAAAAUGUUUUUGGAAGAUUGGAAUGUGUUGGGGUUGAUUUAAGGGAUUUAGAAGUGAUUAUUUGGCAAAAAUUCUGUUAUAGAAAGCUGAUAAACUGAUUUUAUUUUUUUUGCAAAAUUGUGCUGAUAUAAUGGAUUACAUCAAGUCCAUGGUGCCCAAAACCUGUUUUUUUAACUGCGUAGUCGAUUAUACCCUGUCUAAAACAUUUAAAAUGCAUUUUUCGUCACUCCAAAUGAUUUCAAACUUGAUAGGAUGUAUGAUGACUUAUUUCUAUCAAUUGAAAGAGGAUUUUCAUGAUAAAAACAAAGUAGUGGGACAUUUCAAGAGGUAGUAUGUGUUUGAUGAUAAUUGAGUAAAUGAAAUGCUUUAUGAGAACUAAAUUGAGAUUGUAUAAUGAAAUGAAUGUGAGUUAUGAAUAAUAAGUAUGCAUGAGUAGUUAACGAGGAGAUACAUGAACAUUGAACUUAGCUUAUGUGAAUGUGAAAAUUGAUUGACUUUGUGAAUAUGGAAAAUAGACAGACUUAGUGAAUUGAUGAAUUAUAGCGUGUUGACUUGUAAUUAGUUUUAUGAUGACAAUAAGGUGAUGAAUAAUGGUUGAAUUGGUCAUUGAUAUGUGAAUGAAAUAUUGAUUAAUUAAGUGUAAGUGGCGAAUUGUCUAAGAUACAAAUUGACUAAAUGUAGUGAUAUUGUUUCAUUGAUGUUAUAUUGACGAUGAUAUCAUAUUGAUGAUAAUAAUGAUGUUGGUGUGAUAAACAUGAUGAUGUGAAUAUUAUGAUGAUGUUGAAUUAUUGAUGGGAAUAAAUGUUGAUGAUGAAAUAAAUUUUUAUGUAUGAAUGUAUUGAUUUGACGAUGAUUUGAAUAUUGGUGUGUUGUUAUGCUAUAUGAUGAAGUGAUAAUGUAACAUGAACUAUAUGGAGUCGUACAUUGUCGAGUCUAUGCUUGAAUCCAUGCAUCAUGGUCGGUCCUAUUUGAUGACGGGUGGAUUAUAAGGUAAUAUACCUUCGAUUAUCCAAUUAUUUAAAGAUGGGGGAUUACUCGGUAACAUAACUCUGACAUCCAAAACAUGGUACCACAUACAUAUAGAGUCAAACUAGAACAUGACAUACAUACGAGUCUAUGUGGGAAUCGUGAUUUGAUUAUGUGAAUAUAUGAGAAGAUGUGUACAUGACUAUGUGUGUUCAUAUGAAAAUUGGUGAUGGUGAUGAAGUGUGAAUGAUAUAUAUUCGAUUUUGUGACAAUGUGAAUACUUGUUAUAUCUUGUGUUGAUGAUUUGCGAAUUAUUAUAUCUUUUUAAUUGAUUGAAGGAGAAUGCAUAUAAUUAUAGUAUUGCUAGAAAAUGAAUAUGUGUAUUUGUGAAUCAUAAUACUAUGCAUGAGUUUGUAUCUUCUUUAUGUUGAAUGUAUAUCUUACCCACUAGUGAUUUUUUGGUCGCCUACAUCCUCGUGUUGUAGACUUGCAGGUUGAGCACCCUUAGUCGACGUGAGUAUUGGAGGACGGUUGGCACCAACUCUCUUUUAUGCCUUUUUAGUUUUAUCUAGUAGGUUUUCAUUAAGAUGUCAGACAUUUCAUUUUAUCUUUGGAUUUAUGUUUUGAGGAACCAUUGAGCUCUCAUUGAUGAUGUAUCUGAUAUUUUGAGAUCAUGACUUUAUGUUGUUUUGAGAUGUUAUUUCCGCUGUCACUGUUUAUGAUUCGAUGAUUUAUGCAUAUUUAUUAUUAAUGAUGAAGUGGCAUUUUUAAGUUUAUAUGAUUAAUGUUGCAUUUAUGCUUUAAUAUUGUAUUUGGGGUUCAAGGGUGUUACGAAAUGUCAUGAACUAAAAAAAAACAUACUUGAAAUUUCAUAUAAUGCUCUGACAUCACAUGGACUUGCGAUGAUUAAGUUUUAUUUUUGUGAAUAAAGACAAGACCAGGAACACGAAGCAAGAAUCAGUGAGUGACUGGUGAAGAUUUGGAGUAGAAAGUUUUUAAGUUUCCAAAAAAUUAACAUGCGACUUCCAAUAGAAUAGUUCUCACCCUUGGGGAAAUUUAUGUGUGCAUAUGUGAGAUAACUAUGAUAUUGUUGUAAGAUUAGGCAUAAGAUUAUCUCUAUAAAUAAUAAUCAAUAUAUAAAUAUAAGAAUCAAUUAAAAAUAAACAAAAGAGAAAUCAAUAAAUUUAUUGCUUUUGAGAUUGUUGUUGAAUUAGAUCAUCGACCACAACUCUAUCAACAUCUUUGACAAUUAAAUCAAACCUGCUACUGAAUCAACUACCAACGUCUGCAAAAGGAACAAACCGUAAAAUAGUAUGAGACACUCUGUACUUAAGGAACUUCCAUGAAAUUAUAUGCUAAACCUCCAAGAUUUAGUAGACCCUUCUCGAUGUGGAAUAAAGGAAUCAGAACUGACAAAAAAAAAUUCUAAUCAGGAAGAUGAAAACCAAGAAUUAUUUUUUGCUAAGAAGAGGGGAGAAUUGUUUUUGUUUUAAUACUGAUCAAAGCAAGUGAAAAAUGUAACUUUUUUUGUAUGUGCUUCAUAAGGCCUAAGGCAAAACAUAAUUGUUGAGUCAAGGAAAGAAAGCAACCUUAGUAAUAGCCACAUUCAAGAGAUAUUAAAAGAAAGACGGUUACAAAAAUUUAGAAUUAAAAACAUGUUUACAAAAUCAAGUCAAACAUUAUAACUAAUAAUAUGAUAAUAAUUUUCUAUUAAAAUAUUUUUCUAUAUUUCUCAAUUAAAAAUAUGGGACACAAAAUAUUUGAAACUUUUGAAAUAUACUCAAAAUUUACAACAAAUAAUAGGACUGAAAAAGUAUACAUACACCACCUUAACUCUUGUGACUGGUUACACUAAAGAGUGCAACCGGUUACAAUGCCUGAAAAGUGUUUAAAAUGGACUCGUAUUGUGUAAUAUACUAUUUUGGACCAUACAUUGACAUUGUAAACCUAAUGACAAUACAAUGACACAAGAGAGAAUUAUAGAAAUAUCACUUUCUUCCUUCCUGAAACCUCUUCCCUAAACUAGACAAUUUUAUAGGUGUUUUGAAUCUUUUUAUUGCUAAAUUAUGUAAUUCCGCAAGCAAGAUAUCUCAUGGAAGUUUUUGAAGACAUUGAAUUAAGAUCAACAAAUUUGUAGAAGGCUUUGAAGUCGUUAUAAAAUUGGAGAAAUUUUAUCCAAAGUCCCAAGAACAAGUUGGAGAAGCGAAACACUCCAAGAAUGAUGAAAAAGACAUUUUUUGCACUUAAAGCUAAUGUUAUGUGCUCUAAAUGCUCUGGGCAAAGAGUUCAGCUCUCUUUUACACAAACCAUGUGCUCUGCAUGCACAGUCUCAUCCGUGAAAACGCAGCUGAUUUUUUCUCCAGUACAAGCUAUUUCCCGAGUUGUUCCACGGAGACAACUAUCUGAGAAUCACUUUCCACCCACAAGUUAUUCCAGCUCAUUUGGAUAGUAGAGGACAUACAAUCUUUGGAUAUAUUGCUAUUUUCUUUAACCUCAUCCAUGACCUUCUUAUUAAUCCCUUAAAAUAUUAUUGAAUAUGAGUAUUGAUAAAUACUAAUAAAUACUAAUAGUAAAAUAUUACCCUUCAAAUAAUACAAAUUUAUUAUUAAUAUUAUAAUAGUACUAAGAUACAAUAUUAAAAAAUUCGGGGGGGUGUUACAUUGAAGAUGUACAUAAAAAGGUCGGCCUUGUCCGAACAAGAUAUAAUGAAGGAGUCCAUAUAUCAUAUACUUCUUGGACUAGUGAAGCCCAUCAAUGAAACUUAACCUAAUUACAUCAACAAAUCCUCGUGUAAGCUAUUUAUAAAUGUGUUAUUAGGUUAACUAUUACAAUUACAAUACAAGCAGACGUCGCCGCUUGAAUUUGUCCUCUUUGUGUAUCUCUAUUUGUCUAUGUUAUCUUUCAUUUGGAUUUUUUAUAUCUUUCUAUCACUCAUCUAUAUAUAUAUAUAUAAUACAAGUUCGCACGUAUGGUUGAAGUUGUUAUGAUAUGUAAGGGGAUAUACAUCCUUUGUGAUAUCAUUUUAGUCAAAUAAAUUAUGUGUGUUUUUGUGUUUAGUCUACAUAUUUUAUAUUAUUUCGUCAUAUAUCCACAUUUUCUUUUUGUCUUUGGGUUCUUUUCUCUUAUUAAAUCUUGUUUUUUUUUCUUCUACUAGUUCUACGUUGAGGCAAAAAACCCAGAUCCAUGGGCUAUCCUUCCAUGCAUGAUCAAAUUCAAAUUAAUGAUUAUGUUUUGGACUUCUACACAUUAUCAAUUAUGAUUUGUUACUACACACUUAGUUUUUGCAAUGUCCACUACAAAUUUGUGACGGGUGUAAUUUCUUUGAUUAAAUAUGGAGAGCAGGUAAGCUUGGAAGAAAUAUAAUUUUCUUUUAUUUUUUUAAUUAAUAUAAUAAAUAUAUUAUUAUUUUUAUGAAUUAAUGGUUUUUAUUUUGAUGAGUAAUAUUUUAUAUAAUUUAUUUAUUUGGUAUUCUUAAUUGUGUUUUUCAUCUUUUGCCGAGAGUAUUUUAGAAAUUAAGAUAAGUUUAAAAGGAGUAAUUCUUGACUUGAUAUAUAUGUACUAUCUAUAUUUUUUUUUGUUAAAUUUAUAAUUUUGUUGAUCUGAUUUAGAGUCGAUAGUGUGUAUUUCGAUUUUGUGUUUUAGAUCUAAUUUUAAAUUGAAUUUUAAGAGUUUAUGUUAAGAUCGAAUAUAGGAAUGCGUGAAUUUGUAGUUAUCUUGAUUGCAUAUAGGAUAUGUGUGCCUAAUUUUUCUUAAUUGUUCAAUGUUAUUCAAAAUGAAUGUUCUCCAGUUACGCAAUUACAUUAUUAGAGAUUAAGAUCAUUCAAUUAAGAUCAUAAUCGUGUUUAUAUUUGACUCAACAAUUUCUCUAUCAUAUAAUACUAUUAUGGCAAAUUUUAAACAAAUACUUGCAUUCCCUCCCAUGAACUAUGAUCCUGAGAAACAUGUGGUUGUUACUCCAAUUGAUUUUAUUAUCUUGUAAACUAUUGAAUAUCUUCAAUACUAUUUGAUGCGGCAAACAUUUAAACAUAAAGAUCAACUUGUGAAAUUUUUCUCUCUGAUAUUACUAUUAGAAUCUUCAUGAAAAUCAUGAAAUGAGGUAUUUUCUGACCCUUUACUUUGGACUAAGUUCGAUCUAUCUUGAACUAGCUCAAAUGAUUUUAAAGUACAGAGGUUUUGAAGGAUUAUACAAAUUCUAUAAGUAAUUUAUUAACCAAAUUCUUGAAGUAUGAUGUAAUUAGUUUGACAAUUAUAAUGCAAGUUGCUUAGAUUUAAGUUUCUAAUUUUCAGAUAUGCACCUCUAAUCUCUGGUGUUCCUAAAAGUUAUCAUUUUUAAUUUAUCCUUCUAGAAAACUUAUAUGUUAGUUAGAGCUAUGAUCAUAUUUGUUCAUUUCCUAUCUCAUUUUAUACGUAUAUACUGAAUUUGGGAUUCAUUUUAGAAAAACUAAAUAAUAAUUGUAAGAAUUCAUUUUUAGUGAUUUAUUUUUCAAUCAAUGACUAUAAUCCCACUAUUUAUUUCAAUCGUAUAAGUUUGAAAUUUAGAAUAUAAUACAUAAAGUUGUUGCAUGCAUGAGUGACUUGUUAGUUUGUUGAUAUAAAUUUACCUUUAUAAUUUUCAGAUUAAGUCCUACGCUCAGCUGAAUGGCUGCUCUGCUGAAUGGAUCUAUCAAACAAGUGUUAGAUUGCGUCACUACUGAUAUCUUAGGUUUGAUCGUUGGUUAUUCUCGAUUCCACCAAGAUAUUGGAUAUUCUGAUAAGGUUUGGAAUAUUAAUUUCGACUCUCAAGCGGAACAAAGGGAUAGCAAUGGAUCGGAAACAAACAAUUCUGUUGAAGAAAUCAAUACGGAACUCCAUUGGCUGUACCUUUUGAAGCUAUCAAUCAAAAGACUUUUAAUGCUGGUGAUUCUUCUGAGCAGUUCACGGCUGAUCUAAGACCAUAGCUAUUCAGUCUCCCAUCCAACCAACCGGCAAAAGAACCAAAAACUGCUCAUUGGGUGAUUUGUCAGUGGUUCUCGUACUAUGAAUAUACCCCAUCAAUUUUCGAUCCGAAAUGCAAUACAAAGAUUUUUCUUCAUAAUUUGAAGGGAGAACACUGGAUUGUUAAUUCUGUUACUAAAACUAAAAUACAUACAAGUCACUCUCUAUGUGGAGGAUGGACGGAUUUUGUCUGUGGCAAUAGCAUAAAGGUUGGAGAUGUCUGCAUUUUAAAACUUAUACAAGAGUGUGAAUUUCGUGUUCGCAUCAUCACUAAGGUUAGAAAAGAUUGGCUGGCACCUGCAUAUGAGGAAGCACUAAAUGCAGAUCUUCCUACAAUCCCAUUGAACACAACCCAACACAUGGGUGGGAUUAAGAAAGUGAUACAUGUAGCUUUCACACACUUGGCACUCAGUGUUGGUGAUAUUACUAGUGGGAAUGGAGAUUCUUUUUAUGUUUGCAAAAAUGUUGGUGAUGAUAGAAGACUACUAUACACUGGUUCAUGUGCAGAAAUUUUAAAUAUGAAAAAUUCACAAGAGCUCAAAAAGGAGUUUCUUUGGGCUGAAGUGUCUCUUGUAGAAUUGAAAUUGGUGCCAAUGCACAAAUCUUUAAUCAAUGUUGAAAUUCUUCAAUUAUUUUUCAACAUGGUGGUUGUUAAUCUUAUGAUGCAUGCUGUAAACUCUAUGACAUGGGAUCCAGGAGGGUGGUCUCUUGUUCAUUGAAGAAGUCAACAUGCAUGGGAAGUUCUUAUCGGAAUGAGAGCUCGGGGUCGAGUUCUUCUUAGGUGGAGGAGACUGAUGUAGGAGGGUUUCCUUAGUAAUUUUAUUAUUUCCGUCGAAUUUUAGUAAUUUUCUGUUUUUAUUUGAAUUGGUUAUUUUCGGCCCAUUAGGGAUUUGUUAUUUCCCUAUGUAAGCUUAACAGUUGUAGCCUAAGAGACGACUUUUUUUUUUUGGUCAAGUAGUCUAGUGGCUAAAAUUCGCAUAGUUAAAUGUGGAAAAGUGGGGUGUCCGGGGUUCGAACCCCGGCCCAUGAAUAUAAUAUUUUAUUCAUUCAAUAAUAUUUUAGAGAGUUUUUCUCAAUUUCUGGUGGAUUCCGAAACCCUAUUUUCACAAGUUUGUCGCUUUAAAACUUGUCUCUUCUCAAUCUAGGUUCAGUGUUUGCUAGUCUACGCUUCCGAUUGUGUCAUGGACGAGUAUCAUUAUUAUUAUUAUUAUUAUGAAAGUGAUGAUGGCAUAUGAUAUUUUGAAGGACGGAUUGAAGAGAUUGAGUUUAGGGUUUAUGGAGGAGGCAUUAAAGAUGUUGCAAUGUAUUGGCCUCCAUCUCCAUGAACUUUGCUGUUUACUUGGCCUCCAUAAUUCACACAUUUCACUUAUUAAAUAUUUUAGGGUUAAUUGUUCAAAUUGACCAUGUAGAGAAAUCUAUAGAAAAUACAUCGGACAUCUCCAAAGUUUAAUAGCAUUUCAAAUAUGCCUCGAUUUAUUUUUAUUUUUCAACCGAAACUUGUGAAAUUGUUAUUUGUUCCGAGUAAUAUACUCACAUAUCAAAUUUUGUUCGCUUAUUUUUUUUAGACAUGGUUCGAAUAUCAUAAAUACCUUCACCAUGAUAUUUUAGUGUUUUUAAACUUGAGACGAAUUAAUUAUGAAUUAUUUAAGAAAUUCAGAAUUAUGGCAAAAUUUAUAAUUAAUUCGUCCCUUCUCGAAACAUUUUUUUUGUAAAGACAUAAUUUAACCUUCUAAAUAUUCCUGCAAAAAAUCGUGAAUAAAUUAAUAUCAUUUUUUUGAACUUCAUGUAUAUUACUAGGUCAAAAAUAGGAAGAAUAUUAAAUUAUAGGGUUAAAAUAUGUUCAUUUUAUUUUACAGGAUCAUUUUUCAAAUUUCAAGCAUGUUACAGGGUAAAUUUGAAUAAUAAUAAUAAAAAUAACUAGACUCUAACCCGUCCGAUACACAUGUUUUUUGUUAAUUCAUAUGCAUAUGAAAUUUAGUAACAUAUUUAACUAUGAUCACUACUAUCUGUGAACAAUUUUACAUGCAUAGAAAGAAACAAGAAAAGAAAAAGAGAAAAAAGACCAAUUCACAAAAUUUAAAGAGUAGGAAAAGAAUCUAAAAAUCAUGGCGAUUCUGCAGAUCACUUCAAAUUAUGUAUUUCAAUAUAAGUCAUUCAACUUAUGCAACCAAAGUUCUAACAACAAUUGAUAUACCGAAAUAACUAUUUAAUUUCAAUUCGUCAAAAUAAUAUUUGAACAAAUAUUUAAGAACCAAAAACGAUAAGCGUAAGUGAAGGGAAAGAAAAUGACAGUUUAUGAGAAGUGGAAAAGGUGGGAUAAUAAAUGGGGGGGGGGGGGGGGGGUGCAACCAGAGUUCUAACAACAAUUAACACACCAAAAUAACUAUUUGAGAACAAAAAAUGAUGUGCGUGAUAGGAGUAUGGUGCUGAUGGUAAAUGGAGCAUACCCGGACUCCGUGAAGGGAGAAAAAAUAACAAUUUAUGGGAAGUGAAAAAGGUGGGAUAAGAAGUGGGAGGCGAUUUUAGAAUUUGAAAGCGAAAUUAAUUCAAUUGAAACUUGUGUGGUUUAAUGGCAAAAACUAAGAAGGAUAACCAUCUGUAACCUAGUUCAACUCUCACCAAGGAAUUUUUAUCAUAAAGCUUUUUUAAGCUAAUAAAAAAGGGCGGGACUAGGGUUGCUUGCAACACUAUUUAACAUUUAGAUAUGUCAUUGGUCCUUACACUUUGACCAUAUUUUAGCAUUAGUCCUUUCAUUUUUUUUUGUUUGACAUUGGUCCUUGCACUUUCUAAAAAAAUGGCAUUUGAUCCUUAUAUUAAGUCCAUGUUAAAAAAAUGCCCCAUCUGCGACUGCUACAAACGAUCCCAAAUUUACAACCCAUGAGAAUACAAGAAAACAACCCAAAACUUCCACAUCGUUUUCAAUUAUGAUAUUUUACUCUUUGAUGCAUCCUCUUUCUUCUUCAACUCCUCUUUCAAUCUGAUAUUUUUCCAUAAAGUUGUAGAACCCAGAAAUUGAGAGGCCGUAAAUAGCUGUCAAUAGAUUCAGACAUAUAUGCGUGAACGGAAGGACAAGGGCGAGUAGAGAAGCGGCGAAGAUUGUAUAUAUCGAUGGUUAUUAAAAAGAGAAAAGAUGCGGUGAAAAUUAAGAAGAGAAGCACGAUUUUGAAGAGUAUAGAAGUAACAAUUUUUAUAUUCAGCAACGUUAAUUGAGAAGAAAAGAGAAUGAACAGAAUUGUACAAUAUAUGAGAAGAUAGAGUUCAAUUCAGAAAAAAUUGGGGGUUGAUUUCAAUUUUAUAGAUUUUAUUAAAUUAAAUUAGAGUAAAUAUAUAGUAAUUUGAAAAUAGUUAUUUGAAAUCUAAAGUAAUAUUAUUUUUGCUUAUUAAAAAAAAGUAAUAUUAUUUUAAGUUUAAUGUGACAUGGUAUCCAUGUGUAUACUAAUUAAGUGCCAUAUCAUGUAAAAUUUUGCCACAUCAACAUCAAUUGAAACGUUGGAUUCUAUUUAAGAAAUUGGAAAAAUCAAGGGACCAAGUUUGUAAUUAAGACUAUUUUCAAAUCAUAGAUUCUCUUCAACCCUUUCUUAACGACUAUUCACACAGAAACAUUAUCACAAACACCUUCGAGGCACUCCAGAACGAGCAAUGUUGGAGCCAAAUUGUCUGAAGAAAGCAGUGAUUCCUUCAACUCUGAUCAAGAAUCCAUCUCCUGGAACCAUUCAAUCCACUCGCCUUGCUCUUCAUGUUACCCAAUUACGACAUUAUUGUUAUCUCUACAUUGCCUCUGGUUCCAACAUCUAUAAGCUUCAGGUUUAUUCUUACGUAACUUCCUUUUGUUAAUUUUCAAUUUUUUAACCCAUUUUUUUGUUAUUGAUUAUGUUAUAGAUAGUAGCAUGUUGUUUUUUUGGUGUUACUCUGUAAUCCAAUUUGAUUAGGUGAAACUUGUUAACCACUUGAGCCCAGUCACUUUGAUUAGUAGCAUGUUGUUUAAUCUGACUGUUAAAAGUCUCACAUCAGUUAAGAGAUGACCUGACAAUGUGUUUAUAUAAGUAGGGGGCAAUCAUCACCUUACGAGCUGAUUUUGUGGGGUUGUGUUAGGUCUAACCACGAUUUCUAAUAUGACAUCAGAGCCUCCUCCAUGAUCUGUUGGGCCACUUGUUAUUAGUUUUCUGUUAUCUAGCCACCCUCCAUUUAUGUCCGCACUCCAGAUGUCCAGUCCUGGGCGUAAGAGUGUUUGUUAAAGAAUCUCACAUCGGAUAAGAGAUGGUCUGACAAUGUUUUCAUAAUUUAUUUUAUAAUUUUGUGUAAAAUCAAUUGUCAUUAUUACAAAGUUGUAACCAAGUGAUUGAGGAAGAAUUGUUUGGGAGAACCAGAAUUCAAAUUUCAGCCGAAACAAUACUUCGCCUAAGAAAUGGAGGGUUAAGAUUAAAACAAUGCAAUACAAAGUUGUGAACUUUGGAAUGAAUCGAUAUCGAAAUUGGAAAAACAUCUUUUAGUGUCUUUUUAGUUGGUUAUUUUGCUCUUUGGAUGUGUUUUUUGUUAGUAAAUUUCAUCUAUAAAAUUACAAACAAAAGAGUGAAUUGGGAUAUCUUUUGCACUUUUGAUACAUUCAGAGAUUAUAACGAUAGAGCCUCACAUAUUUACGUGAAUGAUAAUACAUUCAGAGACUAUGAUUAUAGUGCCUCAUGCAUUUACAAACAAAAGAGAGACUUGGGAUGUGUGAGACUUGGGAUGUAUUUGCAACUGAAUAAGUUUAAUUGUUUGUUGAUAGGAUUUUUAAAUAAAAUUUAUUGAAAGAUAGUGUUCAGAGAAGUUACAUUGAAAAGAUAACCUAAUGAAUGAACAAACUGUAAUCAUUAUCUUCCCCUGCCCCCGUAAUUUCAGCUUUGCCACUAACUCAUUUCCUUCCAAUAUUACUCUGACCCCAUCCCUGGAAACAGCCUCUGCGUACAAUACACAAAAAAUGGUGGGACCCCUUCCCAGACCCUGCGUAUGUGGGAGCUUUAGUGCACCGGGUUGCCCUUUUAAUACUCUGACCCCCCUCCCGCUUAGGACUGAACAUUCAGAGUGUGGGCAAGUGCUUGUGGAAUAAUAAUAUAUUUAGUAUAGACUGGGCAUGGGACACAAGUCCUUGGUUUGGAACCUCUUAAGUUUAGAGUGUAACUCAACUUACAAAACCGACAUAUAAACUGAGGACUGUCCACAUUAUAUAAACACUACCUAGGCAUAUCUCUGUCGAUGUGGGAUUCUCAACACUUUCCUCAUGUUUUUUUUUUUUUUGAACAAUCACUUUCCUCAUGCUUAGGACUGUACAUUUGAAGCGUAGACUAAUACGGGAGGAAUAACAGGGAUUCCACAGUUACUCAUUCUUAGAUCUAUAAUAGAAAUUAUAGAAUCAACUGUCCUAUCAUUUGUUGUGUGAUUAUCUCUUUUGAUUUAGAAAACAAAAACAUCACUUUGCUGGUUUAUUUUGAUUUGUUCUACAGAUAAUGAUUUCCGUUUACUAACUAUAAUUUAUAUUUACUCUCUAGAUUGCACUUCAAGGAACUUCAGUUUCCAAAGGAAAAGAUAGUCUCUUAAUACCUUUGUCCACUGAGGUAUAUAGUAUUUAUUUUUAUUUUUUUUGAAGAAUGAGGUAUAUAGUCUUGUAAAGACAAUAAACAUGUUUGAUUCUCUGCUUAUUAUGCUAAAUGAUACAUCAGAGUUUUAGUAAGUUUGGUUUUUUUAUCAUGGUUACUUGUAGGUUAUUGACCCUUCGCGAGUCAAACGCUGUCCCCAUCGCUCAGAAAUUCAGAGUAUUGUUCUUGCUGAUGCAGAGAGUAUGUAAUUUUGCGUCAUGAAUUUUCUUUUAAUUUUUUGUUUAGCCACUUUAAAUUAAAAUGUUUGAUGUUUCUGCUGUAAUGAUGUUUAUGAAUAGAUCAAUUUUAAUAUUUUUCGCUUGUGAUGCUUUCUAGGCCUUGGCUACUACCUGUUGGGAAGUGUGGAUUCAUACGGUCAUCUUAUUGUAUCAAAGCUUGAUGCGUCUGGUAGAGGUAAUAUUUUUUGUUUUUACCUGAUUUAACCCUCAUUUUACUCUCUUCAUCUUCAUCCCUUUGGCAAACUAUUGCUUGAGCUCGUAUGUUUUGGCAACUAACACUUUGAGAAAUCUCCUAAUACUUGUCAAAGGAUUCUUCCCUACACUUUUAUCACAACAAAAACAAAAAUGUCCUAUUUUAAAAUAUAAUUGUGUCAAAAAAUAAACUGCAGUUUUGAUAUUCAUUUUCUUAGUGAGUUCUUUGAGAAAUUGUGCCUUCCAAUUAGAAAAAACAUGUUCAGAAUUGUCUACCAGAAUGUAACCUGAUUCACACGUGGUCGUUGGAUAAGGCAAAGUGGCAGCAGCUAAUCAUUUAUCUGAAAUUCUACAUUGGUCAACUCAUCUGGCUGUUUUGUCCGUUCUUGUUUUGAAGGAAAGAAGAGUUUCAUUGAAAUAUAUUAAGAUUCAUAGAAAAAGACGAGAGGAUCGGAGGUCCUCCUUAGAAAAACAAAAAUACAACCAAAAGAGAAGAAAAGCGAACAAUGAAGCAAAGCUAUCCAGUUCCUUGCCAUAAAGAGACUGUAAACUUAGCCUAAGUAGAAAUCAAAUGACUUGCCUUAUUACGUAGAAGCUUAAGAUAAAAAUUAUGAUAAUUAAACUCUAACCUUGUGCACCAAAAUUUAGCACAUGCAGCUUCGUCAUAAAAAACUAUUCCAAGGACCUAGAGCACACUGAACUCUUGAAAAUGCCAAACAAUGAAUUCCAUAAACAUAAUGAUACAGAAAAUUGCAUAGUUGCAUCUGUGCUUUCACCUAACAAGUCAAACAUAAAGAUGUUGGAAAUCGAACCAAAAUUAGGAAUCAUCUAUAUCUCCAAAAAUUUAACAUGAGAAAGCCAUUAUAUAUUUAGCAUCCCAGUUCUUUUGGUCUAAGCCGUGCAGACUCACAAAAGCGAUAUUUUUGUAUAUCAAUUUUCCAACACCUUAACCCAGUGUUGUAUUUCAUAUCAUAUCUGUAGCACCUGAACAAAUCUAAUUUGUCGCAUUAAUCUGAACUCUAGCUUUUUUCUGCUGAGAUUUUAAAUACAGCAUGAAAUGAUAUCACUGACUAACUUCAGUUCAAUGUAUUUCCACAAAUUUGCAGGCAUUGACAUGCUUACGUAUUCAGCAUUGCCGCCUGAUAAUGGUAUUGGGGAAGGAAGUUGGGCAGGACUCAGCUUUAGCCCAUAUCAAAUUUCUAUGGUGAGCUCUUUCAGUACCAUUAAUGUUGGUUCCCUCUACACAUGUAAUUUUCAUGUUAAAACAUGUAAAAAAUUUCUGGAAAAGCUAUAUUUUCUGUCAUUUAAAUCUUACGUUGAUAAUUCACUGUUGAAACUUCAAUACAAGCAUAGUGAAUCUUAAUUUUUAGAUUUUGGUCUUAUAAGAAAAUCAAUAAAAAAAACAGUAGAAGCUGUGUCACAGACCAGAACUUCAGUUCGUCAUGCUUUCUCAAUAAAUCUAGUAUCACCGUCUUUUCAAUUUAAAGAAGACAAACGGAGAAACUACUUGUCUCCAUCUUAGAUCUUAUUGAUUUCUCACUAUUUCAUGUAUGGGUUUUGCCUAAUUGUGUUGAGUGGUUCCUUUACCCAGGCAGCUGUUGCUCGUGGCUUUUGCAAAACUAUUGAUAUUUUUGACCAGGACAUGCAUGUUCGCAGAUUACGACCGUAAGUGAUUUUAUUUAUCUAUUUGCGUUAAAUUAUAGGCAAUUGAAAAUUUGCAUCUAUCUUUGUUUAUCUCUCUGUCAUUCAUUCUUAUUCUGAUUUUUAUCGUGUGAUUGUUGUGAUUUUUUAUGACAAGCACCUUUGAAUCAUCAUCCUUGAUACUUGUACACAAAAUAAUUACAUAAACAAAUUUAAGUAUAAGUUUAUUUUACAUUUACAAUAAUGAUAAUUGAGAAGACUUUAAACUGAAUACUUGAUUGUAUAAUGUUUGUUGAUUUAGCAUGAGACAAUGUAGUUUGUACAAAUAUAUGCAUAGAGAAUCUAAUGAAUAGACCCUAAGACCUGGUGAUCACGAGUUCAAAUCCUAGAAACAACCUUUUUGACGUUUGGGGUAAGGCUGCAUACGCUUACCCUCCAAAAGUCACACUUAGUACGAGACUCAUGCACUGAACUUCCAUUUACUGACUUUUAUAUAAUGGAAGUUUGAAUUCUUAUUCCUGUUUAUUCAUUUUGACUUUCCAGGAACAUAAAUUAUUUGAUACUCUUUAAAUUUUGUGAACCUAUGCACCAAAAGCAGAAGUAAUAAUGUCUGAUAAGUUCCUUAUCUGUUUACAUUUUUAUGCAAGCAUUCUUCUUGGUUAAUUUAAAGGGGGAGCCUUGGCACAACGGUAAAGUUGUUGUCACGUGAGUGAAAGGUCACAGGUUCAAGUCUUGAAAACAGCCUCUUGUGUUAAAAACAGGGCAAGGCUGCAUACAAUACACCUAAACGAUGGGACCCCUUUCCGGACCCUCUGUGUGUGGGAGCUUUAGUGCAUCGGGCUGCCCUUUAUUCUUCUUAGUUAAUUUGUCAUCUUGCAGGCUCUGGGACCCUACUUCAGUAAGCUUUGUGCAAAAUGUUGUAAAUGGAGAUCGAAGUUCUCUGUUAGCUAUUACUGAAGGAAGCCAGGUAAUUUUUUAGAUUUAUAGUGAUAAAUUAUAAAAGCAUAGAGACACCAUUUGGUAUUGUGUCUACUUUUUAGAAAUCUUGUUCGACACAACAUAUGUCUGUCCUACAUGUGUGCCGUGUCACAUAUUGUUUCAACGCUUGUACUUCAUAGGUUAUAAUGGAUUCUGCUUUGUGCUUCCUCAUCUGUUUUUCAAUUGCAGCUUACUAUGUGGGACUUGAGAGUGAAAGAAAAUGGUGGUUGUGUACAUCGGAUUAGUGGUACCCCUGGUGAUACUUUAUAUUCUGUUUGCAGUUCUUCCACUGGUAAUAUUGCCGUUGGUGGGGUUGAUCGUACUGUGACUAUUUAUGAUCCUCGCAGGUUAGCUUCCAUCAUCAUUUCAUGAAUAACACUUCAAAAGUAAUGGCUGCAAUCAUGACUUGUCAUUAUUUUUUGUGAAUCUGUAUACAUAUUUAACCUAUAUGCCUAUGACUAGUUUGUAUAUAUUUUCUUAAUUGUUUUUCAAUUUACUUUUACAUUUUCCUAACUAUGCUUUAUAAAUCACUUCAUAUAGAUGGUCGUCAUUGUCUAGAUGGGUGCAUUGUUCAAAAUUUGAGGUCAGUUUUUACCUUUUAAAACUGCACUCAUCCUUGAUCUUCCUACUCAACUUUGAUUACUGCUUUUGAUGAUUUUUCUUAAAGAAUGUAUAUUGCAGUUUUAAUUUUAUCUUCAUUCUCAUUUGGUUACUUUAAUUUUACUUGAUGUUCAAAUAUAUAAACAGAGUGUAGUAAAUGAUCCCUAGAGUUGAGGUAUUGAAAUUCGACAUGUAUUUAAUCAAGGAAACUGAUGGAAACCAUAAAAUCAUUAGUGAAAUAUGUGUAUUAUUCAAUGAAAAAGAUAGGAAUGACACCAUUAGGGAGAGAGUGGGGGUAGCACCUAUAGUAGAAAAGUUGGUAGAAAAUAGGCUUACAUGGUUUGGGCAUGUACCCAUAGAUGCCGUCGUAAGAAGAGUAGAUCAGAUGGAGGAGAGUAAGGUCAAAAGAGGUAGAUGAAGACCUAGGAAAACUAUAAGAGAAACCAUUAGAAAGGAUUUAGACGUCAAUGAGUUAGAUCCAAAUAUGGUUUAUGAUAGAACACUAUGGCGUAAUUUGAUCCAUGUAGCCGACCCCACUUAGUGGGAUAAGGCUUGGUUGUUGUUGUUGUAUUGAAUGAAAAAGAUGAGCUCAGCCUCAGAGGCUCUACAAUGGUGGAAUAGUAGAAAAGAAAGAGAUAAACCAGAGUGGGAACACUCCUACCAGAGCUAGGCUCCUAGACUAGAGAGACUGCUAACGAACUCUCAACAAUUUAUCUGAAGGACUUACUCACUACAUUUCCCUCCCUUUUAUAACGGAAUAUUCCCUAAAAUCAAUGAAAGUGCUAACCUACUCUUAUUCCCUAUUCAUCUCCGAUCAUAUAUAAUGUGCCUUGGUGUUGAAUCUGAAACUAUAAAACUUACUUACGGAUUAUAAUCCUCAGUAUGCUUCAGUUGAUUUCCUCUGUUUAAAUAGAAAAGCAUUAUUUUUGCAUGUUUACUAUUGCUUCUAUUUAUGAAUGUAAUUGACUGUGCUUUCAUGAGUACUGCAGAUAACAGGGCUAGCAUUCUCAACAGUUGAUCCUGACUAUAUCUAUAUUCAAGGGGUUGAUUAUGAGGUAAUUCUAUUAUGAAAAAUUUUGCUGACCAAUUUAUAACUUUUAUGUUCAAUAAUAUAGCGCGGCAUAAGAAAAUAUAGGAUGAGUGUGAAAUCUACAAAGGAAUUUAUCUUUUAUGACCAAGUGGUCUAGAGUUAAGAACAUAUUUGAACACAAGAUAUGUCGGCUUAUGUAUUAUCCGUGUUUCACGAUCAAAGGGACUUUUGCACUAGGUAGCAUGUUAGUAUUAUAAUACGUUAACCAUUUUUGUUUUCAUCUAACCGAUUAAGCUUUUUUCUUAUAGUUGUUUCAUAAAGUUUUCUUCAAAUCGCCACUGAUAAAUGUUUUAAUGGGUCUGUGAAAUUGUACAAUCUGCAUGUUCAAAAUUUAAAAAUACAAUUUUUUAAAUGACAAGUAUGCAUGCAUUACAUAUCAUAAAAAUCUAAUACACAUUUGAGGAGAUUAAGAUGAGUGAUAAAUGCUAGUUUUAUUCCUUAGCAAAAAUCCUUUUUAGAUUAUAUUUCUGGUUUAUAUUCAUGUAUAUACUUAUAAUCUUUCUACAAUUUUGUGUAACGAAUUCAGGUCUUUUGCGGACAAUGGAAAGAACGCAACAAGUUAUUUUCAUUUAGAGGAGACUCAAACUGGCUUGGCUUUAGUAAGGUACUGUAUUUCAAAGCUCAUAUGUAGAUUUCAUAUGUGUAUACAUUUGGGUUUGUUAUUCUAUGAAAAGGCUUCUCAUGCGUAUAAUACACCAAUAAUGGUGGGACCCCUUCCCGGACCCCGCAUAUGCGGGAGCUUUAGUGCACCGGGUUGCCCUUUUUUUAUUAAUGAAAAGGCUUCGUCUCAUUCUUCUCAUGCUUUUGAUUAUCAUCAUUAUAUUUGUUUAAUUUGCAUAUUUCAGGCCUGUUUGUACCCUGUUCAUAACUUGUUAAUAUUGAACUGAAUCUUGCUUUUGUAUCUAUUUUCCCUGCUUUCUUCUGCUCCGUCUGUCCCAAAAUAUAUGUUACCUCAGCGCAUGGCACACGAAUUAAAAAAUGCAGUUAAUUUCGUAUGAGAAUGAGAAAUUAUAACUUAGUUUACAAAGUUACCCUUCAUUAAUGCUAUGGGAAAGAUAAGUCCAAUUAUGUAACUUCACAGCAUCUUCAGCAUUUAGGAAAGUCUGUAGUAGGCAUGAUUUGUAAAUCUUUGCUCCCCAAAUACUAGAUAGUGGUUUUCUUAAUCGUACAUUCUUUAGUUAAACUAUUGAUAUUUUGAAUUCUUUGAGGAUCGUGGUUCUUUCAUUAGUGUUAAAUAAUGUCAAACUUAGGCACAACACUGCCACUCACAUUUGUUGUUUUACCAGGCACAUAAAUAACCUUGGCAGAAUUCUAUUUUCUAUUUUUGGAGCUUUUUCUAUACUUAUUUUUAACAUUUGUUGGCUCAAACUUGUGUACUUCUGUUUAAUAUUACUGUAUUCUACUUUGCAGUGCUCCAACAAAGAUGUUUUAGGUGGAUGGUGUGAUUCGGGCAGCAUAUUUGUAGUUGAUGUUGCUUAAGUGAUAUUGACAGACAUAUUGGUCUGUCCGGUAAUGAUUCCAACUAUGUAUAUUUUUCGUUGGUUCAGUAUAUUUAACCAUGGUAGAGUCCAUGUUUGAUAGGAAAAAGAAAAUCAAUGUGUUUAUUGUGCCAAAUGUUAUAAUGCAUUUCUAGUUCCUAUUCUGACAUUACUGAAUGCAUUCAUUUUGUGCUUUUUCAAUGUUGUAAUGUUUUAGUGAGAAAGGUUUAAUGUCCAUUUCAAGUUCCUAUUUUGACAUUUCAAUUAUUUAAGUAUCAAGUGUAUUUUAUGGUUUUCAAACAAGACCGGACCAUUAUUGCUAUAUAAAUUAAACAUGUUUAUGUUAUCAUUUAAGAGAUCCGUGCAGAAGGCCACGGCCUCAUCUUGACAUUGUUGUACCUCGUUUUGAGGUGAAUGAUCGAUAGUACCGCACCCCAAAGAUGCCAAGGUUGGUCUCCCAAGAAUGCAGCUGGGAUACAAACUUAUGACUAGAAAGUGGACACUCGUUGUUCUUUGGGAGUUCUCUUCAUCGAACUUACUGUUAGUUCAAUAGCCCCUAGGGGUGGGUUAUUCAACCAUCAACCCAAGUUUCAUGAACUGUUGUUCAUACAUAAUGACAAAUGAGCUCCCUUUGUCAACCAAGGUUCAGGAGACUUCAGGGCCGACCAUUGCAGCUAUGAUAACAAGAGGAUAGAUCUGUCACCGCCUACCAUUUUGUCAUUGUCGACCCUAGGGUAGGACUCUCAUGUCUCAGUCUCCGCCCUGACUCCCUAUUUAAAUCAACUACGAGCAUAUCAACGAUCUUCCUCUUCGCCGCCUCUUUCAGAGGAGUUUUGGGAAGAGGAAGUCCUCUUGUUAUGGAUCCUACUGAGAGACAUUCCUCUUGUGGAAUCACAUGUUUUGUAGAAGAGGAGCGACAACAACAAUUUGUUUGUGAUCUAGCGAAAGAGUGAUGGUGGUGCUUUCUCCAGGAGUAGGAGAAAGAAUUUUGUUCCUGUUAUCUUUAAGCGCAGGGGAGAGAAUAAGAGCCAUAUAAUCCCGCAAGAUUUUUGCCGCAAAAUGGGGAUUUGUGUAGGUAUUCUCGAAGCAGACAAAAUCAGUUCCAGUCAUCGGAAAGUGAUUUGCAUGGCAACAUAACUCAAACAUGAUUCAAUUACGAUAUAUGUGUUGUGGUGGACCAAUACAGUGGACGAGACACAUAGACGGGUUUUCGAUGAUAGUUACAAUGAUGGACUACUGCAGGUGCCGAUUCUUUUACUUUUACCAAAGUUCCGCUCAUCCCAUGCGAGAAACUAGCCGGAACAGCCAACUACAACAUAUGGGCUGGUGCCGUCAGACUCUGGUUUCACGGUCAAGGUCUUGAAGAUCACUUGACCAAACAAGCCAAAGAUAUUGCCACUAUAUAUUGCACAAAAUGGAAGCAGGUCGAUGCAUCCCUAUGCAACGUUCUAUGGUUUUCAAUAACACCCCAUCUCCAAGCACAGUACCAAGCUUUCACCACUUGCUAUGAAGCGUGGGAAAAGGUUAAGAAAGUCUUCUCCAAUGAUGUUCACCGUCUCUACAGCGUUGUUAAUAGCCUCAAUUCUUUAAAAUUGGAGAAUAUGGAUGUUCAAGCUUAUCUUAGUAAGCUUGAUUCUUUAAAGGCUAAUUUUCAAACUUUAAUGCCUUUUAUUAGUGAUGCAACAAAUCAUGCCGAACAACGCAGCAAGUUUUUCAUGGUCAUGGUUCUUGUUGGACUGCCACCAGAACUUGAUUCUGUGCGCAACCAAAUUUUAUCCGGUUCUACUGUUCCUGAUUAUGAGACAGUUAGCGAACAAUUGUUGCGGUUGGCCACACCUCAUGCUUUUGGUCAUGUCUCCACUCCAUCUCCUAAUGAUUCAUCUGCUCUUGCCUCCCACUACAAUGGUCGUGGUGGACGGAACGCAGGACGCAGUGGACACGGUAGUCGUAGUAGUGUUCGUUGUAACUAUUGCAACCGCUACAGCCAUAUUAAAGCUGAUUGUCAUACAAAAGCAAGAGAACAACAACAACAACCUAGAGUUGCUGCCGUAGCUCAACCUACUACCGUUAGAGAUGUUACUAUUCCGGCUGCUGAUUACAAUGAGUUCCUUUAGUUCAAAGCAGCCCAUCAACCAUCAUCUUCUACAAUUAUUGCUCAGUCUGGUAAUCCUAAUCUUGUAGCCUUUAUCUCCACACCGUCCUCCCUUGGUCCUUGGGUAAUUCACUCUGGUGCCUCUAAUCAUAUGAUCGGUAAUAAAUCUCUUUUAUCUCAUUUGUCUUACUUUGAUUCUUUGCCUCUUGUCAUUGUGGCGAAUGGUUCCAAAAUCAAAGUUCAAGGCCUUAAUCAGGCCCACCCACUUCCAAACUUGUCCUUAGAUUCUAUUAUCUAUACUCCCGGCUGUCCUUCCAAGCUUACUCUCACCACCGGUGGCAUGUCCUUUUGUUUCCUCUCAAAGGCUUACACAUCAGCGCUUGGGUCAUCCUAGCCUUAAUAAAAUGCGUCUUUUAGUUCCUAGUUUUUCCAAGCUUUCGUCAUUUGAGUGUCAAUCGUGUCAGUUAGGUAAACAUACUCGUCACACCUACAGCGAACGAGUAAAUAAAAGUGUUGCAUCACCUUUUGCUUUAGUUCAUUCAGAUGUUUGGGGUCCUAGUCGUGUUGAGUCAACUUUAGGUUACUCUUACUUUGUAACGUUUAUUGAUGAUUUUUCACGAUGUACUUGGGUAUUCUUAAUGAAAAAUUGUUCAGAAGUUUUCCAUAUAUUCAAAGAAUUUUAUGCAGAAGUUAAAAAUCAAUUUGACACUUCCAUUAAAGUUUUACGCACCGAUAAUGCUCGUGAAUAUUUGUCAUCACAAUUUCAAACCUUUUUAACUUCAAAGGGGAUUAUUCAUCAAUCAUCGUGUGCUCACACACCGCAACAAAACGGUGUCGCUGAACGUAAAAAUCGUCAUUUAGUUUAAGCCGCAAGAACCCUUUUACUUCACCACAAUGUUCCUUUCCAUUUUUGGGGGUGAUACCCUUGUCACAGCUUGUCACCUAAUUAACCGAAUGCCCUCAUCUAUCCUUCAAGAUCAAAUUCCGUACUCUAUCUUGAACUCACAUCAUGAACUAUCCCCAAUCCCUCUUCGUGUCUUUGGUUGCACAUGCUCUGCUCAUGACCUCGCUCCAGGCAAAGACAAACUUUCAGCCAAAUCUCUCAAAUGUAUAUUUUUAGGCUAUCACGUAUACAAAAAGGUUAUCGUUGUUUUUGUCCUCAACUUAAAGUUUCUUCACAGUCAAUGCCAACCUGUUGACAUGCAACAUCACUAGCAUCUUAAAAGUACCGAUAAAUUUUUCUUUAUGUCUAAAAGUCCACAUGGACCAAAUAUCAUUAGCAUCAGAUAGUCAUAGUACUAAGUCCCACGUCUCAUUUUUAAUUAGAGCAUUAUAUUCAUCAUUCAUGGCCAUUUUUCAACUUUGAUCUUUAAGUGCUGACACAAGGUUCAUAGGUAGAGAGGAUUUUAUAAUAAGGUUUGAAAAGUUUGGAAAAUAAUGUGGACUAGCAUGAUAUGAAUUCAUGUUACUUACAUUGGAGUUCUCCUCUAGUUCAUUAUCAUAUUACUUAUGUUAGAGUUUUAUUUGCAUGAAUUCAUGUUGAGGCUCAAAGACAAUUUAACUUGAUGACAAAGAGAUAGGGGUUGGCAAAAAGAACCACGAACCGAAUAAAAAAUAACCGAACCAUUAUAAUUGUUCAUGAACCGAACCGUUAAUUUAUUAACAGUUCUUGAACCGAACCGAACUCUUUGUUGGAUCUUUCCAAAAAAACCACUUGAACUCUUUGUUGGAUCUUUCCAAAAAAACAACUUAUUUAAAAUAGCUUAUUUUAAAAAACAACUUAUUCAAAACAGCUUAUUUUAUGAAAACAUCUUAUUUUAAAAAAACAGCUUAUUCAAAACAGCUUAUUUGAAAAACAGCUUAUUCAAAACAGCUAAUUUUAUGCAAAACAUCUUAUUCAAAACAACUUAUUUUAAAAAAAAAAACAGCUUAUUCAAAACAGCUUAUUUGAAAAAUAGCUUAUUCAAAACAACUAAUUUUAUGCAAAAUAGCUUAUUUUAUGCAAAACACCUUAUUUAAAAAAACAGCUUAUUUUAAAAAAAAACUUAUUUAAUGUGAUCCUUCUUUGUCUCCCAUGUGCCGUCCUUCUUUUUUUUUUUUUUUUGGUAGAUAAAAAAUUGUGCCGUCCUUCUUUGUCUGUUCGUUCAAUUGACUUGACUUUGAAAGAUAUUUUCUUUAAUUUGCUCUUGCCACACCAGUAUUUAAAUGCAUUUUCCCACAUAAUAAUUAUAGAACACAAACAAAAUUAAAUAGCAUAAACCACUUUCUUCUAAACCAAAAUGAAGUCUUUUUCUUUGUUGUCACCUACACUUUUAUACCUUCAUCCCCUUUUUAUGCUUACCUUAAAUUUAAUGUGGUUUGGUCCAAACAAAAUUAGGGCAUUGGCUGCAAUAGGAAACCAAACUGAUCAUUUGGCAUUGCUCAAAUUCAAAGAAUCAAUUUCCAGUGACCCAUACAAUGCUCUUGAAUCUUGGAAUUCUUCCAUCCAUUUCUGCAAGUGGCAUGGAAUCACAUGCAGCCCCAUGCAUGAACGAGUUACAGAGUUGAGCCUAAAAAGAUAUCAGUUACAUGGAUCUUUAUCUCCCCAUGUUUGCAAUCUCACUUUUCUGGAAACUCUCGACAUUGGAGACAACAACUUCUUUGGAGAAAUUCCUCAGGAUUUGGGUCAGUUGCUACAUUUGCAACACCUUAUUCUCACCAAUAAUUCUUUUGUAGGUGAGAUUCCUACAAACCUGACAUAUUGCUCCAAUCUCAAGUUAUUGUAUUUGAAUGGGAACCAUCUCAUUGGUAAAAUACCAACUGAAUUCGGCUCUUUGAAAAAGCUUCAAUCAAUGUUUGUUCGGAAUAACAAUUUAACCGGAGGAAUCCCUUCAUUCAUUGGAAAUCUUUCAAGCUUAACACGUCUGUCAGUUUCUGAAAACAAUUUUGAGGGAGAUAUUCCACAAGAAAUAUGUUUCCUCAAACACUUGACAUAUUUAGGUUUGAGUGUCAACAAUUUGUCCGGUAAGAUUCCUUCUUGUCUUUAUAAUAUCUCAUCACUUAUUACACUUUCGGCAACACAAAAUAACUUGCAUGGCUCUUUUCCACCCAACAUGUUCCACACCCUCCCCAAUCUUAAAUUUUUACAUUUUGGAGGAAAUCAAUUCUCUGGUCCAAUUCCUAUUUCGAUUGCUAAUGCUUCUACCCUACAAAUAUUAGACUUAUCAGAAAACAUGAAUUUGGUUGGACAAGUUCCAAGUCUAGGGAAUUUACAAAAUCUUUCCAUUCUAAGUUUGGGAUUCAACAAUUUAGGUAACAUUUCAACUAUGGAUUUUAGAUUUUUUAAAAUAUUUGACAAAUUGCAGUAAACUAAAUGUGCUUUCGAUAGCUGGAAAUAAUUUUUGGUGGUCAACUGCCAAAUUCCAUAGGCAAUUUUUCCACUGAACUUCAACAACUAUUUAUGGGGGGUAAUCAGAUAUCAGGAAAAAUUCCUGCAGAAUUAGGAUAUCUAGUUGGCUUAAUUCUCUUGACCAUGGAGUCUAACUACUUUGAAGGAAUUAUUCCAACUACUUUUGGGAAGUUCCAAAAGAUGCAGCUAUUACGUUUGAGGAAAAACAAGUUGUCAGGAGAUAUUCCACCCUUCAUAGGCAAUCUCAGUCAGUUGUUUAAAUUACAAUUAAAUCAUAAUAUGUUUCAAGGAAGUAUUCCUCCAAGCAUUGGAAACUGUCUACAUUUACAAUAUCUAGAUCUUUCUCAUAAUAAGCUUAGAGGAACCAUACCUGCAGAGGUUUUAAAUCUUUUUUCUUUAUCAAUGUUAUUGAACUUGUCACAUAACUCUUUGAGCGGUACUUUACCAAGAGAAGUGGGUAUGUUAAAAAAUAUUAAAGGAUUAGAUGUCUCUGGGAAUCAUCUAUCUGGUGAUAUUCCGAUAGAAAUUGGUGAAUGUACAAGCAUAGAAUAUAUUCUUUUGCAAAGGAACUCCUUCAACGGAACAAUACCGUCCUCUUUGGCUUCUCUUAAAGGUCUUCAAUAUUUAGACUUUUCAAGAAAUCAAUUGUCUGGAUCAAUUCCUGAUGGUAUGCAAAAUAUCUCAUUUUUGGAAUAUUUUAAUGUUUCUUUUAACAUGUUGGAAGGAGAGGUACCGACAAAUGGUGUAUUUGGAAAUGCAACGCAAAUAGAAGUGAUUGGAAACAAAAAGCUCUGUGGAGGUAUUUCCCACCUGCAUCUACCACCGUGCCCUAUCAAGGGUAGGAAACAUGUAAAACAACACAAGUUCAGGUUGAUAGCAGUGAUAGUUAGUGUGGUUUCUUUUAUUCUCAUACUUUCAUUUAUCAUAACUAUCUACAUGAUGAGUAAAAUAAAUCAAAAGAGAUCUUUUGAUUCACCAGCAAUUGAUCAACUAGCUAAGGUUUCGUACCAAGAAUUACACGUAGGAACCGAUGGAUUCUCAGAUAGAAACUUGAUCGGAUCAGGAAGUUUUGGUUCCGUAUACAGAGGAAAUAUAGUUUCAGAAGAUAAUGUUGUUGCAGUAAAGGUCUUGAAUCUGCAAAAAAAGGGUGCUCACAAGAGUUUCAUUUUAGAAUGUAAUGCACUCAAAAACAUUCGACACCGAAAUUUGGUUAAGGUUUUAACAUGUUGUUCUAGCACAAAUUACAAAGGUCAAGAAUUUAAAGCUCUAGUUUUUGAAUACAUGAAAAAUGGAAGCUUAGAACAAUGGUUACAUCCCGAGACUUUGAAUGCAAAUCCUCCAACAACAUUGAACCUUGGUCAUAGAUUAAACAUCAUCAUCGAUGUUGCUUCUGCAUUACAUUAUCUUCAUCGAGAAUGUGAGCAAUUAGUCUUUCAUUGUGAUAUAAAGCCAAGCAAUGUCCUUCUUGAUGAUGACAUGGUUGCUCAUGUGAGUGAUUUUGGCAUAGCAAGACUUGUCUCAACAAUUUCUGGUACCUCUCAUAAGAAUACUAGCACAAUUGGAAUAAAAGGAACAGUUGGUUAUGCUCCUCCGGGUAUGUUUUAAAUUCUUGAAUCUUCCAUUGUUUUUUUGAAUCUUCAUAUGUUUCGGCGUAGUUAUAUAUAAUACCUUUUGUUACAUAUUUUAGAGUAUGGGAUGGGUUCAGAAGUAUCCACUUGUGGUGACAUGUAUAGCUUUGGAAUCCUUAUGCUGGAAAUGCUUACUGGUAGAAGACCCACUGAUGAACUUUUUGAAGAUGGUCAAAAUCUGCAUAACUUUGUUACAAUUUCAUUUCCUGAUAAUCUUAUAAAGAUUUUGGAUCCACAUCUUUUACCAAGAGCUGAAGAAUUAGGAGCAAUAGAAGAUGGAAAUCAUGAGAUUCAUAUUCCAACUAUAGAAGAGUGCUUAGUUUCACUUCUUAGGAUUGCACUUUUAUGUUCUUUGGAAUCACCAAAAGAAAGAAUGAAUAUUGUGGAUGUCACUAGAGAGCUUACCACAAUCCAGAAGGUCUUUCUAGCUGGUGAGAUGAACUGAUAUUCUUAUAUGUUUAUAGCUUAUGGAAUUAGAAUUUUAUUUUUAUCAUCUUGUUGUGCAUUUCAAUUAAAUGACCUUCUUGAUUUUAAUUUCAGGUCUUGAACAAAAUUUCUAAGUCGUUUGUGCAAAGAGAAAAUGGUUAAGAAAAUGAAUGGUCCGCUGGAAUCACAUGCGGCAAUGCUUAGUUUACUAGUUUGUUAUUCUCUAAAUGCUUUGUGUUCAACGUAUAUUUGUUUGCAACAUAAUAGUUGUUAUAAAUAAAGAAUGUUUUCUGUAUUGCUUUCUAAUUAAAUGAAGUGAGAAUUGAUAAUUCUCCCAUAUUUAUCUUCAUUCUCAUAUGAAUUGUCAUUGUAGUUAAUUCAAUGGGUGUCGAUUUAAUCAAAUCUUUAUUAUAAUAUGUGUUCAUAAACUUUGUUUGCCCAAAUAAAAGAACAAACAUUUCAUUGUGAAAUGAUUUUACUUCUUAGUGUAUUACUACAUAUGAAUGAUCAGUUACUUCCUAGGCAGUUAGAAUCAAACUUAAUUUUAAACUCAAAAUCAAUCAUGUUAAUCAUAAGAAAUAAUAAAUCAAUAUGCGUAAGCAUAUCUGAAUUCAUGAUCAGAUAUCAUUGACGUGAUAUGUCAUUCUAGAUCCAUACACAUUCUCAGUGAGAGAACUCUUUGUUAUUCUCUUCAUCUCCUUGUGAUGAUGGGAUGUCAACAAGAACGACAACCACUAGAUGUGUGACCUAGGGACCAUGUUCUCCUUUAUUUAUAGAAUCCAAUUAUGGUUAAUUAUUGGUAUUUCUAUUUUAUCCCCUCAUAAAAAUAGAAUGAAAAUUGUUUUUCCCACUUCAAAAAUUGCUCAAACACACCUGAAAAUUAAAUAUGUAAUCCAACGAUAGAUAAUUGCGGUUCGGUCUUUGCAACAGUUGUUAGUUGCCAUUCACUUAAAGCAACGAUGGUUAACUACCGUAUUUUCCUUGCAAUGGUACUUAACAACCGUUGCGCUGGAAACUUACCAAAACCAGCACAACCUACUCCUACCUCACUGUUCAUCAUCACUUUUUUGUCUCUUCCAUCAAACCACUAAAGUGCAAAAAAAAAAAAAAAAAACGACAAUAUUUGUCUCAAAUCAUUGAAGGAGUGUUACAAGGCUUCUACACGCAUUUGACAAUAAGAAACAGUCAAUGCAUCUUUUAACACGUUUACACUUGUAAAUUUUACUGCUAUAUUUUGAAGUUUUUGUGAUAUACUCGCAACAGUAGGUAACUACCGUUUGAAGAUUAACAACUAAUUACCGCUAGUGGAGCAGUAAUUAAUUGUCGUUGCAACAUAGUAGCCACUGCCUUUUUUUCGCAAGCCACGACCUUUUUUAGCAUUUUUUUUUUAUUUUUUUCAUUUGAAUUAAUUAUUAAUUAAAUGUUUUUAAAAAUGUUAUGUGAUGUUGUUUAUUUAUAGUUAUGGUUGAAAAUGCAGAUGAUGAUUCGGUUGAGAAAAAACAUAGUUUUGUCGAUUAUUCUGGCGAGUUCCAACUGCCUAAGGUUGAAGCUUCGGUUGAUGUCCCUAGUUGAAUUUAAUGAAGUUUUCAUGAGUCAAUUCUUUUCAACCGAAGAUACAUGGAAAUAUAGAGAUGACAUGCUUAGAAGUUCCCUUGAUCGAACGUUACCCAGAACUCAAUGACCCUCAGGGAUGGCUUAUUGAACUAUCGACCCAAGUUUCAUGAACAAUUCUUCAUACAUAAUGUCACAAAAGGUCGCUUUGUCAACCAUGAUUCGGGAGACAUUAUGGCCAGCCAUUGCAGAUAUGAUCACCAUAGGAUAGGUCAGGCACUGCCUACCAUUUUGUGGUUGUCGAAUCCUAGGAUAGGUCUCUCAUGUCGCAGGCUCCUCCAUGGCUCCUUAGUUAGAUCAACUACGAGCAUUUCAAUGAUCUUCCUCUCUGCCACCUCUUACGGAUGUGUUUUGUGAAGUGGAAGCCCUCUUGUAAUUGACCCUAUUGAGAGACACUUCCCGUUCAACGUAUGGUGGGUGUGGAAUCACAUAUUUUGUAUAGCAAGAGCGACAACUGUGAAAUGUUUGUGAGAUGGGGAACGAGCAAUGGCGGCGCUUUCUCCGGGAGUAGGAGAAAGGAUUAUGUUCUUGUUAUCUUCCAUCAAAGGAGAGAGAGUAUGAGCCCGCAUAAUCUUGAAAGAUUUGUAUCGCAUAGCAGGGAUAUGUGGCGACAUUCUCAAAGCGAGCGGAAUGAGUUUUAGUCAUCGAAAAGUGAUUUGUGUGGGAACAAAGCUCAAGGAUGAUUUAGUUACGGUACUCGUGUUGCGGUGAACUGGUGCAGUGGAGGAUACGCUCUGAUGAGGUUUCCAAUGACAGUUACGGUGGUGGACGACGAUACCUUCAAAACAGACCCACGCUUUGACACUUCAAAAGGAUUUAUGGGUUAAUAAAUUAUAGGCCGACGACAUGGGUUUCUACCAAGUUCAAAACAUAUUAGGCCAACGACAUAGGUUUCUACCCGGUGUUGCGCCUUGUUAUAUAUUUUAUUGAGUCUCAUGAUCAGUUUCUAAUUUCAAACAUAGUAACAUAAUUUUUUUUUUUUUACUAAAGAGUAAAAAAAAUGUUCUUAAAUCUAUUCCUUUAUUUUUAACAAAUCAAAACACCCUAAAUUUACAAGGCGUUGUAACUCUUUAAAUUAACUGUUUUAAAAAUCGUAAACUAUGUAUUGUAUUAAUAAAGGAAAAAUAUAUUUAAAGAUCAAGAUGUACAAUAAAGACACAUCUAGAAGUUGCAAUAAAAAAAAAAAUGUUUUUGCCUCCAUUUGGGAAUAAUAUAUGGCUAAAUUGUAUUUUUGGUUCUUUAAUUAUUUAGAUAGUAUCGCUUUGGUCCCUUAAUUAAAAUUCAAUUUAUUUUGGUCCCUUAACUUAUCUCCAUUACACAUUUUGGUCAUUUCCGUUAGUUUUAAUUCAAAAACGUUAGGUUUUCUUCAUCAUCUUCUCCUCCCUUUGCUUGGAUUCUUGUUGUUGAAGGUUGAUGAAGAUGAAAAAAAGGAGAAGAAAAUGAAGAAAAUCUAACAUUUUUGAAUUAAAACUAACGGAAAGGACUAAAAUGUAUUACGGAGAGAAGUUAAGGAAUCAAAAUAAUUCGAAUUUUAAUUAAAGGACCAAAGGGAUACUACCUAAAUAAUCUCCGACCACCACAGAAAAAAAAAAUCCUUUUAUGGCCACAUCUAUUUUUAAUUUCAUUCUUGCAACUUCCAUUCUUGAAACAUAUGCAAAAUGUUUAACUAGGAAGUGCACAAAAGAUUUUUAAAAAACAUGAAAAAAAUUUAAAUGAUAUAUUUGUUUAUGAAUUAACAAAAAACUUUAAGAUAAUAAAAUUUAAGAGCAUGAAUUUUCUUCAUUAAGAGAAAAAAUAAAACUUACAUUAAACAACAUGAAAAGAAAAUAUUCCAAUGGCUUCUUACUUUUAUGUUAAACAAACACUAACUUUAAUUAAUUGUUAUUAUAAUAUAAUAUAUAAAUGAUAAAUUUCCUAAAGAGUAAUGCAAUAAAAAAUUAUAAUUCUUCCAUUUCAUUUACAAAGUUAUCCAUUGCAUGGAAAAAAUCUGCUAGCAAUUGAGAUCCUAUCCAACUCAGGCAAUUAGCCUCUGCGGUCCACAUAAAAAAUGUUGGCAUUAUCUUCCAGUUUUCUACCCCAAAAGAAACGAUUGUCAUGUUGAAAUGGUUGUAUUUGUUUUUAUCAUAAAAAUAUCAUCAAUAACGUAUGAAGCAGGACAUGAUUAAUGACCGAUAGUGAUACUUUUAUUAAAAUUAUAUUUUUAUUUAAAACUAAUUUGCCCUUAUUAUUUGAAUUGAUAGCAGCAAAUAUCCUCAAUUUUGACCUAAAAUCAAAUUUUGCACUCAAUUAAUUCUUUUUUUUGUUGGUGGCACGAGUUUGAACUCCGAACCUUGCAUAUAUUAUGCAUUGUUCAUAUCAACUGAGGUAAGCUCACGUGUUCCUCUAUUAAUUUCUUUGUCCCUUCCAAAUUGUUUUUCUUCAUUUUUGGUUAAAUAUAAAUAAGCAAUUUUCACAUCUUUUCAGUUUUUAUGUUUGUUUUUGUGAUUUCAUCAUCUUGUUUGCUCAAUUCUAUUCGUUUUGAUUUUCCGCUUUUGUGCGAUGUGAUGUUUGAUUUUCCAUCUUACUACAGUAUUUAUUUGAUUUGAUUUAGAUUGAAAGAUCAACUUUAAACAAGUGUAUGUUUAAUGAACGACUUUUGCACCAAAAAUUAUGGAAAAGUAUAUAACUCAAAAAUUGGCUCCAAGAGGCCGUGUGCGUCUGUUCCUUCAAUUGACUUGACUUGAACUUUGAAAUAUAUUUUCUGAUUGGAAAAGUUUAUAAAUGCAUGGUCCCUCUCUAUUCCCACAUCAUAACUAUCGAACACAAACAAAACGAAAUAGCAUAAACCACUUUUUCUUCUAAACCAAAAUGAAGCCUUUUUCUUUGUUGUCACCUCCACUUUUAUACCUUCAUCUCCUUUUUCUGCUUACCUUCAAUUUAAUGUGGUUUUGUCCAAUCAAAAUUACGGCAGUGGCUGCAAUAGGAAACCAAACUGAUCAUUUGGCAUUGCUCAAAUUCAAAGAAUCAAUAACUAGUGACCCAUACAAUGCUCUUGAAUCUUGGAAUUCUUCCAUCCAUUUCUGCAAGUGGCAUGGAAUCACAUGCAGCCCCAUGCAUGAACGAGUUACAGAGUUGAGCCUAGAAAGAUAUCAGUUACAUGGAUCUUUAUCUCCCCAUGUUUCCAAUCUCACUUUUCUGAAAAGUGUCGACAUUACAGACAACAACUUCUUUGGAGAAAUUCCUCAGGAUUUGGGUCAGUUGCUACAUUUGCAACAACUUAUUCUCAGCAAUAAUUCUUUUGUAGGUGAGAUUCCUACAAACCUGACAUAUUGCUCCAAUCUCAAGUUAUUGUAUUUGAAUGGGAACCAUCUCAUUGGUAAAAUACCAACUGAAAUCGGCUCUUUGAAAAAGCUUCAAACAAUGAGUGUUUGGAGAAACAAGUUAACCGGUGGAAUCCCUUCAUUCAUAGGAAAUAUUUCAAGCUUAACACGUCUAUCAGUUUCUGGUAACAAUUUUGAGGGAGAUAUUCCACAAGAAAUAUGUUUCCUCAAACACUUGACAUUUUUAGCUUUGGGUGAGAAACAAUUUGUCCGGUAAGAUACCUUCUUGUCUUUAUAAUAUCUCAUCACUUAUUACCCUUGCGGUGGAAGAAAAUAACUUGCAUGGCUCUUUUCCACCCAACAUGUUCCACACCCUCCCCAAUCUUAAAUUAUUACAUUUUGCAUCAAAUCAAUUCUCUGGUCCAAUCCCUAUUUCGAUUGAUAAUGCUUCUGCCCUACAAAUAUUAGACUUAUCAAAAAACAUGAAUUUGGUUGGACAAGUUCCAAGUCUAGGGAAUUUACAAAAUCUUUCCAUUCUAAGUUUGGGAUUCAACAAUUUAGGUAACAUUUCAACUAAGGAUUUAGAGUUUUUAAAAUAUUUGACAAAUUGCAGUAAACUAUACGUGCUUUCAAUAGAUUCUAAUAAUUUUGGAGGACAUUUGCCAAAUUCCAUAGGCAACUUUUCCACUGAACUUAAAUAUUUAUUUAUGGGGGGUAAUCAGAUAUCAGGAAAAAUUCCUGACGAAUUAGGAAAUCUAGUUGGCUUAAUUCUCUUGACCAUGGAGUAUAACUUCUUUGAGGGAAUUAUUCCAACUACUUUUGGAAAGUUCCAAAAGAUGCAGCUUUUAUCUUUGGAUGGAAACAAAUUGUCUGGAGGUAUUCCACCCUUCAUAGGCAAUCUCAGUCAAUUGUUUAAAUUAGUAUUAGAUCAUAAUAUGUUUCAAGGAAUUAUUCCUCCAAGCUUAGGAAACUGUCAAAAUUUACAAUAUCUAGAUCUGUCUCAUAAUAAGCUUAGAGGAACCAUACCUGUAGAGGUUUUAAAUCUGUUUUCUUUAUCAAUCUUAUUGAACUUGUCACAUAACUCUUUGAGCGGUACUUUACCAAGAGAAGUGGGUAUGUUAAAAAAUAUUGCAGAAUUAGAUGUCUCUGAGAAUCAUCUAUCUGGUGAUAUUCCGAGAGAAAUUGGUGAAUGUACAAGCUUAGAAUAUAUUCAUUUGCAAAGGAACUCCUUUAACGGAACAAUACCGUCCUCUUUGGCUUCUCUCAAAGGUCUUCGAUAUUUAGACCUUUCAAGAAAUCAAUUGUCUGGAUCAAUUCCUGAUGGUAUGCAAAAUAUCUCAUUUUUGGAAUAUUUUAAUGUUUCUUUUAACAUGUUGGAAGGAGAGGUACCGACAAAAGGUUUAUUUGGAAAUUCAACCCAAAUAGAAUUGAUUGGAAACAAAAAGCUUUGUGGAGGCAUUUCCCACCUGCAUCUACCACCAUGCUCUAUCAAGGGUAGGAAACAUGCAAAACAACACAAGUUCAGGUUGAUAGCAGUCAUAGUUAGUGUGGUUUCUUUUAUUCUCAUACUUUCAUUUAUCAUAACUAUCUACAUGAUGAGGAAAAGAAAUCAAAAGAGAUCUUUUGAUUCACCAACAAUUGAUCAACUAGCUAAGGUUUCAUACCAAGAAUUACACGUAGGAACCGAUGAAUUCUCGGAUAGAAACAUGAUCGGAUCAGGAAGUUUUGGUUCCGUAUACAAAGGAAAUAUUGUUUCAGAAGAUAAUGUUGUUGCAGUAAAGGUCUUGAACCUCCAAACAAAGGGCGCUCACAAAAGUUUCAUUGUUGAAUGUAACGCACUCAAAAAUAUUAGACACAGAAAUUUGGUUAAGGUUUUAACAUGUUGUUCUAGCACAAAUUACAAAGGUCAAGAAUUUAAAGCUCUAGUUUUUGAAUACAUGAAAAAUGGAAGCUUAGAACAGUGGUUACAUCCUGAAACUUUGAAUGCAAAUCCUCCAACAACAUUGAACCUUGGUCUUAGAUUAAACAUCAUCAUCGAUGUUGCUUCUGCAUUACAUUAUCUUCAUCGAGAAUGUGAGCAGUUAAUCCUCCAUUGUGAUCUAAAACCAAGCAAUGUCCUUCUUGAUGAUGACAUGGUUGCUCAUUUGAGUGAUUUUGGCAUAGCAAGACUUGUCUCAACCAUUUCUGGUACCUCUCAUAAGAAUACUAGCAUAAUCGGAAUAAAAGGAACAGUUGGUUAUGCUCCACCGGGUAUGUUUUAAAUUCUUUAAUCUUCCAUUGUUUUUUUGAAUCUUCAUAUGUUUCGGCGUAGUGAUAUAUAAUACCUUUUGUUACAUAUUUUAGAGUAUGGGGUGGGUUCAGAAGUAUCCACUUGUGGUGACAUGUAUAGCUUUGGAAUCCUUAUGCUGGAAAUGCUUACUGGUAGAAGACCCACUGAUGAACUUUUUGAAGAUGGUCAAAAUCUGCAUAACUUUGUUACAAUUUCAUUUCCUGAUAAUCUUAUAAAGAUUUUGGAUCCACAUCUUUUACCAAGAGCUGAAGAAGGAGGAAUAGAAGAUGGAAUUCAUGAGAUUCUUAUUCCAAAUGUAGAGGAGUGCUUAACUUCACUUUUUAGGAUUGGACUUUUAUGUUCAUUGGAAUCAACAAAAGAAAGAAUGAAUAUUGUAGAUGUCAAUAGAGAGCUUACCACAAUCCAGAAGGUCUUUUUAGCUGGUGAGAUGAACUGAUAUUCCUAUAUCUUUAUUAGAAUCAUAACUACGUCAUUAAUUGCUUAUGGAAUUAGAGUUUUAUUUUUAUCAUCUUAUUUUGUAUUUCAAAAUUCCCAAACUACAAAAUAUAAUGGUAAUAAUGACCUUCUUGAUUUUAAUUUCAGGGUCUUGAACAAAAUUUCUAAGUCAUUUGUGGAAAGAGAAGAUAUGCAGCAUAACGUACUUUGGUUAAGAAAAUGAAUGUUCAGCUUGAAUCACAUGUCGCUAUACUUUGUUUACUAGUUUUUUAUUCUCGAAUUAUGUACAAUUAUGUACAAUUGAUAAUUCUCCCAUAUUUAUUUUAUCUUCAUUCUCAUAAGAAUUGUCAAUGUAGUUAAUUCAAUGGGUGUAUAUUUAAUCAAAUCUUUAUUAAAAUAUGUGUUCAAUUCCUAAGUAUCUUAAACUUUGUUUGCCCAAAUAAAAAAGCAAACAAUUUAUGUGAACUGAUUUUACUUCUUAGUAUGACUACAAGAAAAUGGUGUUUUAGAUUCAACAGGAAAAAUGGAUGCUAAAAGACAAAUUGUGGAUGCUAACAGCCUUUUAGAGUUAAUAUAGAGUCAAAAAAAUUUACGACAAUAAACGCUUGGAUGCUAAACACUAACUUCCAAUUGACGCUAAAAUAGCAUUUUCAAAAGCGGACGCUAAAAUUAAAGCUAGACGCAUAUUAAAGGUAUAUAUAAUGUAGACACUACAUAGCAUCUAUAAGUGUGAAUGCUAACACAAUUUAAAACUAAAAUGCAAAGUUUAGAGUUCAAAAUUGUGGACCCUAAUAUUAGGAUCCAAAUAAAAAAAAAUUGACGAUGCCAUGAAAAAUAGCCUAUGCAAUAGCAUUCAAUUCACUGAUUCUAAUUAACCUGAAUGCAUGUGGUUAUUUUUUUGUUGAUUAACAACCCCUAAUCAAACUUAGAAAAUAAUAUUCAUGACUUAAUAAUAUAAUUUUAUAGAAAUCAAAAUAAGACUUGGAAUUCUUACAUGAAUCCGGCAUAGAGUUUGGGAUAUCUAUAGAUAUACAUCAAUUGCUAUUCAUAAUUUACACAGUAGUAGAGACUGUUAACAUUACUUUGAAAUCAUUCCAGGAUACAAUUAGGUUCUGCUAAAUGCGGUGUUAGACUUUCUUGGAACUAAAUAAAACAAAUUCAAGACAUUAGUCUAUACAUAGCACCGAUGCCACAAACACAAGUUAGUAAGCAUAUAAUCAUUGUCAUCAUUAACAGAAAACUACAAGCAAAUGAGUAUUUAUAAACAUUACUUACAUCAUAAGCUGCAUUCACCAGAAUAAAUGGAGUCGGGAAAAAAAAUAUACUACUUACGCAUGAAGAAAAAAUCUUGCAUCACUCAAACAUUGCUAUGUAACUUGAUUGUUGGGAAGAGGCGGCUGCACUUAAAACCUGAAAAAAUUAAUCGUUAUGCAUGUAAACUUCAAAGCGCAUGGGGUUGCCACACUAACCUUUAGGUUCGAUUCGCCCCCACCAAUAACGGUAUUUGAAUCAAUGCUAAGGUUCAUUAAACACCUUUUUGCCAAAGGUUCCAAUGUAUAUGAAUGAUUCUCAUGAAAAGUUACAACUCUUGGUGAAGAGUUACAACUUUUGGUUCUAAAGUGAUUCCAUUAUUUUAGAAAUCACCAAGAAUCCCCCAUUUUUUCAAAAAUACUAAAUCUCACAAAUCCGGAAAUUUCAUGCCUUGAGAUAAUGGUAUCUCACAAUUUGAACCAUUACUUAGUAAGUUAAGUUUUCGUUCAUUCCCAAAGAGUAUGGUAGACAAGCUUUGAACCAACUAUUCAUUAGAACAAGUAUGCAUAACUUACACAUAGAAUCUCAGUACCGUUGAUAAAGAGAAUUGUAAAAUGACACAUUACGAAGGCCUUGUGUCAUAUAUCCUUUUUCAUGAGAACUUAAGAGUCAAACCCUCGAAACUCCGUGAAGCGACCAAACUUCAUUCUCACAUAGGUAGACUAUAUCGGGAUGCCCAAUAAGUAUGCAUUUCAGAAAAUAUAUGUUAUAUGUCCAUUAAGAGAAAAAUCUCAUCCUACCCCUUUUCUUUCUAUGGUCCAAGUACUUUGAUCCCUUGGGAUGCAUCUAUUGUCAAGUACUUCAAUCACUCUAAUAGUAUACCUUCACCAUUGCACCCAAGACUUGAUGUUACUCAAGUGUUGAGUUUCCACCAUUGGUGAUCAAUUAGAUUUGGGCUUAUACCGCAUCCCAUAUGAUAUCUUCAAUGUUUCAACAUCAUAUCCAAAUUUAUCAUAUCCUUGUCAAUCAUUUCGUCAAAUAAUUGCAAGAUGUUCGUUUAACUUUUAUAAACUUUGAAUAUUCAAUUCUUCACAUAGAUUUUGUGUUUUCAUAGCUUUGUAUAUGGAUCAACUUAUACUCUUAAUAGUGUUCACCUACUAUCAUUAAACCAUGACAUUAUUGUCAAUUUGAGUAUAUUGUACUAAUAGACAAACUCUUAUAUCAUUACACCUUUGCUAUUAAUUUAUUUAACAUGCAUUUCAAUUAAAACAUCAAUAUUUCUUUUAUAUCUUGGCCAAGAUAUAUCAUACUUUGAAUGAAUUAAACAUACAUAGCAAAAUAAAACAUGAUCAUAAAGGAAUGGCAUAACCAAUUUUCACUUCAUAAGAUGGGUUUAAACAUCUAAGUCAUAUACUCCAGAUAGAAUCAAAUAUAACACAAAUAUUUUGAUCUUUCACUCUCAAACGCCCCAUUCUGAACCUCCACUAACUUGAGCGUCAGAGUGUCUGUAAGUGCACAUCCUUCAUUCGGUCCAACGCUCACCACCUUGAACCACCGCAUUAAAGAAAGCACCGGUAGCCACCUUCUGAUCAGGUACGAACACAUGGUAUCUUUGAAAGAUUCAUAAGUUCUCGGAAGAGCACACAACAUGAGUAUAAUUUUACCUUUAUCCUCAAUAUGCACCUCAAUAGUCUUUAAGUCAUCAAGGAUUUUGUUAAACUCCGUAAGUUGCUCCAUGAUGGCCUUUAACUCCACCAUCUUGAAUGAGUAGAGUUGUUGCUUUAGGAAUUCCCAAUGAGCCAAAGACUUUGUCAACUUUGACCACAUCGAUGGCGCGGUUGGUUCUUUCGCUACAUCUCUCAAAACUUUAUCCCUGAGGCACAAGACAAUGACACUCAUGACCUUAUCCACCAUAUCGGUCUUCUCCGCAUGUGACAUGGUGACCAGUAACGCACCUUCACCCUUUAAAAAUUUCUCACCCUUCCAUAAGCCAAAAUCAUUAUCUUCGAAAAAUUUCUCAAUAUCCCACUUUGAACCCAUGGUACUUGAUUAUCGUUUGAUCCUUGCCCCACGGUGGACGCCCAAAUAUUGUUGUGAAUUCGUUAAAAAUUACACCAAUAAAAUAAUUGAUGUGUGGAGGAAAAGAAAGAUAGAACACACAAAAUUUGUUUACCCGGUUCGUUCCAAAACAGACCUAGUCUGGGGGAGAGAGCAGCCCUCCGUUCCACUAUAAUGAUGAGUAACUUUACAAAGAGAUAUUAAAUGGUUACAAGAAUUAGCCUUCAAACCUAACUCUACCAAAAGUCUCAAUCUAUUAUCGUGACUAAGAGACUCAAUCUUAAUAGUGUUUUAUUCAAGGGGAAGCAAAACAAUACCAACCUUAUUGUCUACGACUUAGAGAAAUAUCUCUAUACCCUAGUUUUUUGUUUGUUUCUAAACCCUGUUUUCAGCCCCUCUGUAUCUCAAGGUUUAUAUUUGAUACAAUGUCUAUAUAUUUAUAGUAAAAGUAUCCCUAAAAAUUUGGAAUAAAUCUAAGCACAAAAAUACGAUUCUGUUUUAUUUUCUGCUGGCAAAAUCCGACACCAAUUUCUACUAUUCGGGCGCUGACUUUUUCCGUAAAGAAAAGGCUCAAAACACAACCAAAAUUGAGAUCGAUACAAUACUGAUUAGUAAUCUACCUGAAACAACUGCAUUGUUUAUGAUAGAGGCAAGGAAUAAACUGCUACUGAUUAGUAAUCUACCUGAAACACCUGAACCUCUCAGGAAAAGGAAGAUUGCGCUGAGCGGAAAGAAUUUAACUAGAUGACAGAGGUAUGAUAUAGUGCCAGAAAGAGAGCUCCAAAAAGAUUAAAAGAAACAAUGCCGAUACAACCAAAUAUUACUAUAUGUGCUAUUUUAAAUGGUUGCAAGAUUCAUGAAAACACCUAUGUUGCUAAUAAAUUUUUUAAUACUAAAUAUUUUUUUUUUGAAGAAGCUAAAAUGGAUUAUAUUACUAAAAGUCUGGAGAUUUCAGCACAAGGAGUGUCAAAACCCCAGAUGAAAGAGUCAAAAUACAAGAAAUAACAAAGAGUUGGAGCCUAAAUAAGCUCAAAAAAAUAAGAAUGCUGCCCUGUUACAAAAAUAUUCCCAAGCAAGGUAAAGGAUUCAACCACCAUGAAUGGUAGGAGAAAACAAAACUAGGACGAUUUGCCUUCAGCCACCAGUAAGAUUGAAGCUUGACUUUAUCUAGCAAUUGAUUAAAAGAAGCUUCUUUUUGGUGAAAGAUCCAAUCAUUCCUUUCAAGCCAUAUCACCCACACACAUGAUAGCCAAAUAAGGUUAAGAGCUGAGUGUUUGUUGUUUGAAAAACCGAUAAAGGUGCCAAAUUGAUAUAAAUGGUCUGGCACGUUUUCAGGGAACACUAUGUUAUAACCAAGCCAGUUAGAAAUACCAUACCAAAGCUUUCCAAAAAAAUCACAAGAGAGGAAUAAGUGUUUUGCGUCUUCUAUCGUACCGCAUCCACCCACGCAUAACUGAGCAUUCGGAUGUAAAAUGUGUCUUUUGAUUAGAUUGUCCGUUGUUGGUAAUCUAUCACGUAACAAGCGCCAAGCGAAGAAGCUGAUUUUCAGGGGCACUUCCUUGUUCCAAAUUUCAGUAAUGUGAGUAACCGUCAAGUUGUUACUGUUUGAUGUCAACAUAUGGUUAUAAGCACUUGAGACAUUAUAACUGCUGGAGGCAUGUAAGUGCCAAAUCCACCUGUCAGGAUGAGAAGGCUGCAAAACAAUAUUAGAUAAAAUAUCACAACACUCCCGCACCUUCUCCUCCUCCCAAGCUAACAAACGACGCCGCCACUGCCAAGCUACACCCUCAACCCCCCACCCAAGAGAGUACAUUUCAGCCACCGUUGCCAUUUUAUUAGUAGCUAGAUCAAAAAGACGACUGAAACUGUUCUUCAAAACUAACCCGUCAAUCCAAGGAUCCCACCAAAAUAAAGUUUGGGCACCAUCACCUACCUCCCGCCCCACAUUAUCAUCAGACCACCGCCCACCUCCCACACCAGCCCCAUUUUUAACAUUUAUCAAAUUAUUCCACCAAACAGAGUUAAACCUUCCCUCCUCGGCUAUUUUACCUCCUACCUCACCAUAUUUGGCUGAUAAAACUCUAUACCACAAACUCAUAUUCUCAACCCGCAGCCGCCAACACCAUUUACCAAGUAAAGCCAAAUUAAAUUCCCUAAUCCUCCGCACUCCUAACCCGCCUUCCUCCUUUUUUGAACAAAUAGUGCUCCAAUUAAUCCAAGAAAUUUUCCUAACCUCCUCACAACCCCGCCAAAAAAAACAGUUAAAUAAAGAUUCAAUAGAAGAAAUGAUACCUGCGGGAGCUUUGAAGAAGGAAAGAAAGUAGACCGGAAGAGAGGACAAGACAGACUUUAGGAGAACUAAACGGCCACCCAAAGAGAGAUUUCUACUCUUCCAACCCGAUAAUCUUGAUUUAAUACGAUCAAUCAACGGUUGCCAAAAUUUUAAUUUUCGAGGAUCACCACCUAUAGGCAACCCCAAAUAAAGGAAGGGUGUCGUGCCCAAUUUACAAUUAAGAACAAAAGCUGCCUCAGCCAACCAAGAGUCAUGAAUAUUAACACCAACUAACAUACUUUUGUGGAAGUUUGCCUUAAGACCAGAUGUUGCCUCAGAAAGAAGAAGCAAAGCUUGUAGAGAUCGAAUAUUAGCCCAACUUCGUUCCCCAAUCAACAAGGUGUCAUCAGCAAAUUGUAAAUGAGAGAUGGAGACAUGAUUAUUUGCUCCCACCUUGUAGCCAGAAAAUAGGCCAACCUCUACUAAAGCCUUCAUCAUGACAUUCAAACCUUCAGCUGCUAUUAAAAAUAGAAAGGGUGAAAGAGGGUCACCUUGUCUCAACCCACGUUCAAAUUUGAAUUCAUCUGUUGGGCUACCAUUAACAAGGAUAGAAGCUGUGGCCGUACUGAUGCAUUCCAUAAUCCACUUACGCCAUAAGGUAGGGAAGUUCAUUUUUUUCAUGACAGAUUCAAGGUAGGACCAAUCAAUGGAAUCAAAAGCCUUCUCAAAAUCAACUUUGAAUAAGAGCAAAUCUUUUUUCAAGCGCUUAGCGUCCUCCACAAUCUCAUUAGCAAUGAGAAUACCAUCAAGAAUUUGUCUACCAUGAAUAAAAGCGGAUUGUGUUUCAGAAAUAACACUAGACAUAACCCUUCGCAAUCUGUUGGAAAGAACAUUGUAGAGACUUCCAACCAUAGAGAUUGGUCUGAAGUCAUUCAGGCACUGCGGGCACUCGAUUUUUGGAAUUAAAGCAAUAAAAGUAUUAUUGAUGCCUUUAGACAACUUUCCAUUCCUGUGAAAAUCAGAUAAGAAGCGCAUAAAAUCAUCACGGAGUUCCGGCCAAAAAUCCUUAACAAAACCCAUAUUAACCCCAUCUGGUCCAGGACUUUUAAAACUGUCACAAUCCCAAACCGCUUGCUUAACUUCGUCAACUGAAAAAGUUUGAUUAGGUCACCACACUGACCUACAUUAAGCUUAUUAAAAUUGAGAUUCUCAAUGCAAGGUCUUUCAGCAGCCACAGAUUGGAAAUGAGCUGAGAAAUGAUUGAAAACUAGUCCCCGGAUCCCUUCAACUCCCUCCACAAUAGUGCUAUUAACAGAUAAGGAAAAAAUGGAGUUUGCUCGCCGCCUAGAGGACAUAAUGCAGUGAUAGAACUUAGUGUUAGCAUCUCCCUCUUUCAACCAAAGUAAUCUAGAUUUCUGCCAUUGCAUGCUGGCAUUAAUACGAGAUAGUGAUAAAAAGUCAGAAGAUAAAGAAUGGAGCUCCUCAAUUUCCUCCAAUAAAAGAUCAUCCUCCUCCCCUUUAGCAUCCAGAAAGGAGAUACGAUCUUGAACGUUGCUUAAGCGUCCUUCAAGGUUUCGAGUAUGAUUCUGAUGCCACGUGUUCAGGCUUCCUUUAAUCAUCUUCAGUUUUUCUUUAAGAACAAAGCCUCCCCAACCAUCAAGAUGAUAAGAUUGCAAAUUAUCUCUGACAAAUUGUUUGUAACCUGGUAAGUCCCCCCAACACUUCAGCAUGCGCCUAGGACGAGGGCCCCAAUUUUCUUCGUUCAUAGACAACAAAAUGGGACAAUGAUCAGAAAGGCCGCGGUUUAAAGCACGUUGCACCAUAUUGGGCCAAAUAGUGCACCAGUCUUCAGAAAGGAGAAAACGGUCUAGACGGCUCAUAGAAACACCAUCCCCUCUAAACCAAGUAAAAUUUUUGCCACAAAGAGGAAGAUCAAAGAGGAUGUUACUGUCAAUAAAUUGAUUGAAAUGAGAAUAAUCUUCAAUAAAAGAACCAACCACUCUGCUUUUACGUUCAGUGGGAGAACGAAUAGCGUUAAAAUCACCGCAAACACACCAACAAGUCUCUCUAAAAUUACCAAUAAUUGUUCCAAGGUGAUUCCAAACAUCUUGCCACCGAAGGGGGUCACACGGUGCAUAUACAUUUGCAAGAGAAAAAACAGCUCCAUUUUUCACCAUUGUGCCUUGAAUAAUAACAACAUGAGCCACACUCCUUGUAAUAAUAACAUCAACUUCCGCAGUGUCCCAAAUAGUUAAGAUGCCACCGGAAGCUCCCAUAGAUGGUCUGUAAGAGAAACCGUAGUUUUGAUUACCCCAAAGCGAAUAACAAAGAAAAUCAUUAAUACUUUCCAACUUAGUUUCCUGAACACAUAAAAUCCACGGACGGUGAAAUUUCACAAUCUUUUGAAUUUCCUUUCUUUUCUCAAAACUCCCCAACCCUCUUAUAUUAUAAGAAAUAAAUUUCAUUGUGACCACCAACACGAAAAGUAACAACACAAAAAUUAACAACCUGCUGAGGAGACCGCAACAUUGGCAUGGCUGCCCUCAACUCCUACAACUCCUUUGAUUAUCUUCCUCUCCAAAAUAUUAGGCCGAGAGAGAGCUUGGAACAUAUUAGAACAAUCACCCUUGAAUUGUAAAUUGAUAGCUUUACCAAUAUCUACAAUAUCUUUACCACGGCCAUUAGAUUUAUCAUGCAAAGGAAUCCAAUUUUUCCAAUCUUCCCCGGAUGCUGUUGAAGAUGAUUUCGCAUCCAAACAUUCUUUGUUCUUAUUGUUAAUAGAACAAGAGGGAGCUGCUGAUUUUUUGUUGAGUUUCUUGAGCAUAUGAAUUAAAUUCUGUCGAUCUUUGAGUGGCAUACGGGCAAUACGGCGGAGGCUAAUAAGAGUAGGAUUAUGAGUAACAUUAUGCCGAUGUUUCAUCACCUUAUUCUUUUUUGAAUGUGAGAAAACAACACCAGCAUCACCUACAUGAUGAUCCUUGAUCCAAUCAAUACUGCAAGGACCCGAAAUUGUUGAAGAUUUUCGAGUGUUGGAACAAGAUGCUGCCUUUGUUGGAUUAAUUUUGCUUGCUGCCCCAUUGCGUAAACUAUUGGAAGAAACACGAGGGUCUGAUGGUUGUCCUUCAUAAACUUUUGGCUGCACGGGAUUAAAAGGUGAAGAUACCUGUUGUUGUUGGAAAUUAAAAGAAGCUGAGACAUGGCUGUUUUGCGCAGCUGAGAGGGCAGCGGAGGGUGCUGCUGUUUUCUUAUCAAUAGAAUGCUCCCAAGCCUCCUUGAGAUCAUCAACAAGGGCCUCAACAAAUGGUUCUUCAUUAUGCAUUUCCUCAAAAUAUUCCGAGCAUUCAGAAACAGAAUCAGAAGCUUCUUCCUCAAAACAAACAUCACGAGCAAAAACCGCUUCUGCUUCCUCCACAAAUUUAAUACAAUAUUGUUUAUCAUCAAUCAAAAUAUUCUCCACCACAUUAAUGGCAUCAAAACAAUUUUUGCUAAGUAAAAUACGAGCAAAAUCAAACCUCUCCAAAUUAGUAGUGCAAGGAUCAAUUUUUAACAGUCUCCCAAAAGGUGAUGAAAUAAAUUCAAGGAAUUUAGAAUGCCAUACGUGUAAGGGAACACCAUAGAUCCGGAGCCAAACACCUCUUUCAGACACAAUGUCCUCAGCCAAGGACCAAGCACACACAUCAGAAAAGAAACAGUUAAAAAAAUCAGCAGCUUCGUGAUAAACAAACAUCAUAUCUUCUUUGCCGGGACAAAAAAGAACCACAUUAUCUCCACCUCUAGGUAACACACGAAUAUUAUCAAAACCAGCAUCAAUGAUUUUUUGUUGCACAAUAGGAAUAUAGUCCCCAUUCAGCACUCUUGCAAACGCCCCUUUACUUGCCCAAACAACAUCUUCAUUAUCGGAAAUAAACUUGCGUGCGACAUUUGCACCACUACCGACGUGACUAUUCACUACUAGAAAAUUCGUUUUUAGCGACGGAAAUUUGUGAGGGUUUAAUUUCCAUCGCAAAUUGUGACGGAUUUUGUGAGGGGUACUCUUUUGAUGUCAUUAGCGACGGAUUAUACGAGGGUCUACGUCGUCGCUACUUAUCCGUCAUAAAUUCCAUCAGAAAUGUGACAUUACGUAGUUUUGUGAGGGAUUUAGCGAGGGUUUUAUUCCAUCUAUAACUAUUUCGUUACAUAUUCCGUCGCAGAUUCCCCAAAUAGUUUGCGACGUCCUUGAAUGCCGUCUCAAUGAAUUUAGCGUUUUUUAAUUAAAUGAUGAAAAAUAUGAAUUAAUUCAAAACUUAUGGGUGAGAUGGGACUUAAACUCGCGACCUUGGAUCUGCAAUCAAUGUAAUUUACAACCAGGCUAUGGUAACUCAUUUGUUAUUUCUCUUAAUUGUUUUUUAUUAGUACUAAGUUAUUUUAGAUUUUUUUAAUUGAUUUUUAUUAGUACUAAGUUAUUUUAGGUUUUUUUUUUUUUUUUGAAAAUCUUUCCUUUUCUUCCACACAUGACCUCACUAGUUUGCAUUUUUUUCCUUCAUUUUUACUUAUUUUUUAUUCAAAUCUAAAUUUGGUUUAAAUGUAUUUUUGGUCUUCCUAUUUAUAUAUUUUUGAAGUUUUAAUACCCUUAUUUUAAAAACCAAUAUUUUGAUCCUCUAUUAAGAAAGUCAACGGAUAUUUUUGGUCCCCCAACAACAUCAUUGAUGUGACGCUGACUUGGCACAAUGAUUUAAAAAAUAUAUUUUUAUUUUACUUAUAUAUUACAAUAUUAGUAUUCAUUAUAAAAAUUUCUUCAACAGAUCUUCAUCUUCAACAACCAACAACCACAUACACAUUUGGGGGUUGAGUUUUAAGAGUGCUGAUGAUGGAUUGUGAUUAAUCUUGUGUUAGUGUUGAAUGUUGACGGUAAAGAUGGAGGCAGUUAUUUUAAUUAAUUUAUAAUAUAAAAAUAAAAUAAAUAAUAAUAUUAAUCAAUAAUAAUGACAUGGAAAAUAUUUUUUAUACCUCAUUAAUACGCGGUCAGCACCAUGUCAUUAACGAGGAUGUGACAUCAUCAAAAUUUGUGGGGGAUCAAAAAAAAUUGUUGACUUCCUUAAUAUAGGGAUCAAAAAGUUGGUUUUUAAAAUAGGGGAUUAAAACUUAAAAAAUGUUCGACCAAAAAAAAAAACUUCAAAAAUGUGUGUACAAAAAACCCUUAAAAAGAAAAUUAUAUCCGUUACACCAUUAUUAUAAAAAUAAAAUAAAAAAUAAAAAAUAAAUAGAAAUAGUUGGACAACUUGCACCAUUUUCUACCCAUCCAACCUUUCUUUAAUUAUUAUUAUUUUUUAACAAGCAAUGUAAAAUUUGUAAUGUUAAUUUUUCCAUUUUCAAAUUAUUAUCAAAUGUCGUAGAAAUUUAAGUUCAUACGAAUAAAUAAAUAUUUUAUAAUUUUUUUUAAGGAUUGUAAUUAAAUAUUAUGAGGUAAUUUAUAAUUUAAUUAAUAAAUUAUUUUUGUUUAAUAAGGCAAAGUUAGUGGGGCAUAUUUAAGUAUUUUUCAUUUGAAUCCUUAUUAGUGUAUUGCCAUUGGAGUCAUUAAGUCCUUAAUAGGUACUUUUUUUAAUAGAUUAUAAAUAAGUGAUUAGUCUUUAUAAGAAGAAGAUAUAAGCAAAAUCUUAGUUUCCCGUAAGUUCUUAACACUUGAUAUUAAAUUAUCAAGUGAUAUACUGUCCAUGACUAAUAUUGUAGUGUUGUGUAAAUAAUGCAUCAGCAAUGGAAGUACCUGAUAAUAGAAAGUGGAUCGAUAACCGUACUGAUCCUAAUCAGGAAGUUACUGAAGAAUUUAAAAUCGGAGUUCUUGAAUUUGUUGAGUAUGCUUUGGAACAUGAUAAAGAUAACAUUGGAGGAGGGAGUAUUAGAUGCCCUUGUAAGAAAUGCAAGUGUGCGAAAUUUCAAAUUCCAGACAUGGUAAAGUUACAUCUCUGUAAGAUGGGAUUUAUGAGUAAUUAUUAUCAUUGGACGAGCCAUGGUGAACCGAGUCCCCCAAUUCCCCCGGUGGUUGUAAGUCACUCAUAUUAUGGAAGUAGAGGCCGUAGAGAAUUAUUUGGAAAUUAUGAGCAAUUAGUAAUGGAUGCUGCAGGACCAACAAUUGGUAAUUACCUAGAGCAAGAAGGUCAAGACGAGGGAGACACAAUGCUAGAAGAUCCUAAUGAAGAAGCAGAAAGAUUCUUUGAAAUGUUGAAGGCCGCGCAAACUCCAUUAUGGGAUGGUUGUAGUAAAUAUUCCACAUUGUCAGCUUCUUUAACAUUAUUAAGUUUAAAAGCAGAAUAUGGUUUUUCCCAGGGUUGCUUUAAUGCAUUGGCGCAAUUUAUCGGAAAUGCAUUGCCAGAUAGUAACACUAUGCCUAAAAAUUAUUACCGAGCGAAGAAAUCAAUUGAGGAGCUAGGUUUGGGAUGUUCGAAGAUUGAAUGUUGCCCAAAUGGAUGUAUGCUGUAUUAUAAGGAGGAUGAAGUGCUCCAAAGUUGUAAAAUAUGUGGAGAGGAAUGAUAUACACAUGUCAGAAGACGGGGAACGGAUGAAUUAGUUCCACGAAAACAUAUGUGGUACUUCCCUCUUGUUCCGCGACUACAAUGUUUGUAUUCCUCGAUACAAACAGCCCGCGAAAUGAGAUGGCAUCGUGAGAAACCAAUGGUGAAUGGAUCUUUGUCUCAUCCAUCAGAUGCAGAAGCUUGGAAACACUUUGAUGAAGCAUGGCCUUCUUUCGCUGAAGAACCUCGAAAUGUUAGAUUAGGUUUAUGUUCGGAUGGCUUUGCUCCAUUUGAUAAAACAGGAAGGCGUUAUUCUUCAUGGCCUAUCAUUAUUACUCCUUACAAUUUGCCACCGUGGAUGUGUAUGAGAAGGGAGUUUAUGUUUUUGACCAUUUUAAUUCCUGGUCCUUCCGACCCAACGAGGAGAAUUGACGUGUAUUUACGCCCUCUGAUAGAUGAAUUGAAAAUGUUGUGGGAGGAUGGAGUCGUGACUUAUGAUGUGUUGUUGAAGCAAAAUUUUUUGAUGAAGGCGGCUGUAAUGUGGACGAUCAAUGAUUUUCCAGCAUAUGGGAUGUUAAGUGGAUGGAUGACAAUGGGAAAACGAGCUUGCCCAAUUUGCAUGGAGCGCUCUAAGGCAUUUACCCUUGAUACUAGUAAAAAGACCUCAUGGUUUGAUUGUCAUAGACAGUUUUUACCACAAGAUCAUCCGUUUAGAAGGAAUAAGACUGCAUUUACAAAAGAUACAGUUGAGACGUCAACUCCUCCGCGAAGGCUGAGCGGUGAAGAAGUGUGGGAAAUAGUUAAAGAUUUACCAAGCGUUGAGGAAUCUGUAAAACAUUAUCCUUCAGACUAUAGGGUUAAGCAUAACUGGACAAAGCGUAGUAUAUUUUGGGAACUACCGUAUUGGAAAACUCAUCUUCUUCGACAUAAUCUUGAUGUGAUGCACAUAGAGAGAAAUGUGUUUCUUAAUAUUUUGUUCACAGUAAUGGACACCAAAGGUAAGACAAAAGAUAAUUGCAAAUCUAGGAAGGACUUAGAAGCACACUGUAAGCGUAAGGGCCUAGAGCUGCAGCCUGGUAAGAAUGGUAACAUUGUAAAACCAAAGGCACCAUAUACGUUAACCAAACAACAAAGAAUAGCUGUAUGUGAAUGGGUCAAAAAUCUUAAGCUUCCGGAUGGUUAUGCUUCUAAUUUGAGUAGAUGUGUUGACUUGAAGGAAGCAAAGUUAUCUGGUAUGAAGAGUCACGAUUGCCAUGUAUUCUUGCAACGUCUUAUACCAUUAGCAUUCAAAGCCUUGCCCAAACCUAUAUUGAACACACUUACUGAAUUCAGCAACUUCUUUAGAGAAAUUACUUCAUCGUUAUUGAUGGAAGAUAAAUUGCGCAUCUUGGAGCAAAACAUCCCAAUCAUUAUGUGCAAAUUAGAACAAAUAUUUCCUCCAAGCUUCUUUGACUCAAUGGAACAUCUUCCUAUUCAUUUAGCUUAUGAAGCAAGAGUUGGCGGUCCCGUACAGUAUAGAUGGAUGUAUCCAUUCGAAAGGUCAGAAUAUACAAUCUCCUCGUUACUUUUCUUAUUUCUUUUCAUUUGCCUAAGCUUAAUCUUGAUUUGAUCAAUAGGUUCAUACGGUCUUUAAAACAAAAGGUAACAAAUCAGGCCUAUGUUGAAGGUUCAAUGUGUAAAGAAUACCUACUGGAGGAGUCGACAACAUUUGCUUCGUAUUAUCAUCCCCUAGAUAUUUUAUCAAGGAGAACAAGAGUGCUACGGAAUGAUGAUGGAGGAGAAUCUUCUAUGAAUCCUCCGUUGUCAAUCUUUAACUAUCGAGGCCGUCCUUAUGGAAAAUGUACCACUUCUUUCAUAAAUGAUAAGGAAAUGAAAGCUGCACAUUUGUAUAUUCUUUUAAAUUGUCCCGAGGUGGCGCCUUAUAUUACGUAAGUAUUUCCAAAACAUAGCAUGACUACUUUAUCAUAUGUAAAUUGAAGUCUGAUUUGUUUAUUAUAUAUGUAGCAUGUACUCCGAUAUGUUACGGGAACUCGAUCCAGAGCUUAACGAAGCAGAUUUGGACAAACAAGUAUCCACGGCAUUUCCAGCAUGGUUCAAAAGAUAUGUAUGUGAAUCUCUAUUCGUUAAAAGUAUAUUAACCUUCUUUCUUAGGUUGAAAUUAACAAAACUUUUUCGCGCUUAGGUGCUUGAUUUCAAAAAUGCGAUAGAUGAUGCGCUUUUAAGGAGUUUGGCAUGGGGCCCAAGUAGAUCAGUCACCAAGUGGCCUAAUUAUCUUAUCAAUGGAUACAAGUUUGUGACAAAAUCUAAAAAUGAAGGGAUGAGUACAACAAAUUGCAAUGUAUGCGUUCGAGGAGGGCAAUAUGAAUCUUUGGAAAAUAAUUACUAUGGGGUUUUGACGAACAUUGUUGAGUUACAGUACACAUGCCAUCCAUCAAAAAAGGUGGUUUUAUAUCAAUGUGAUUGGUUUGAUCCUAGUUCUCAAGGGACAAGGAUAGAUAACUAUGGAAACGUUGAAAUAAAAAAAUCUAGGAGAUAUAACAAUUAUGAUCCUUUUAUAUUAGCCCAACAAGCAGAGCAAGUGUAUUUUACAUCCUUUCCUGAAGGGAAACAAGGUUGGCUCGGUGUCAUCAAAACCAAAGCACGCAGCACAAUUCAAUCUUUGGAAAAAAAUGUACCCGAAACAACUCAUGCAUACCAGGAUGAUGCUGAACAACAAAUGCCUGUGUUUGUUUCAGAUGAUGAUUUUCAACAAUGCAUUGUUGACACUAAUGGUGUAGAAGAAGAAGUAGUACCAAUCUCUGUCUUGGACCAACUUGAUUUAGAGAUAGAAGAACAAUAUGAUGAGUUUGAGGAGGAGGAGGAGGAGGAGGAGGAGGAUUAUGAAGAAGUAGAAGUAGAAGUAGAAGAUGAAAUAGAACUGGCAGAAGAAGAAGAUGAUGCAUUUAGAAGAGGAAAAAGAACGCCGAACAAUAUGACUAGUCUUUCUUUCUAUUGUUAUGUUAAAUUUUUUAAGCAAAUCCUUAUGUGUGAUUCUUAUGCAUAUUAAUGGGAAAUGCUAAUUGUGCUUAUGUUUUAAUUUUGUGUGCCUUUUAACUUGUUUAUGCCCAUGUCUAAUUUUGUGCGCCUUUAACUCUUUCUCUUUUAUGUACAGUAGUAAAUUACCUAGUUUUAUAUGUAUAUAGAUAGAUGGAAGACAAUGAUAUUACAAGGGGCAAUGGAAGAGGUGCUGGUAUAAGCAUCAACAAAGUUAAGGGAAAUAAGGGAGGUAAGCAUAAAACUACUUUGUCACAUUCUUCUAGAUUACAAGCACCUAGGCCUGCAGACACCCAACAAUCCCUAUCUACAAAGCAACCUACACAUCAUCCCAUAUCUCAAACACAUACUAACUUCCCACCUUUCCUCUCUACUUCAAGUCCACAAAUGUCUACUAUCCAUGCUCCCACUUCUCAAAUACCUACAAAUACCCAACAACCCCACUCUACAAUGAAACCUACACAUCAUCUUACAUCUAAAACACCUUCAAAUAUCCAACAAUCCCUAUCUACAAAGCAGCCUACACAUCAUCCCAUAUCUCAAACACAUACAAACUUCCCACCUUUCCUCUCUACUUCAAGUCCACAAAUGUCUACUGUCCAUGCUCCCACUUCUCAAAUACCUACAAAUACCCAACAACCCCACUCUACAAGGAAACCUACACAUCAUCUUACAUCUAAAACACCUUCAAAUAUCCAACAAUCCCUAUUUACAAAGCAACCUACACAUCAUCCCUCUCAAAAAAAUACAAACUUCCCACCUUUCCUCUCUACUUCAAGUCCACAAAUGUCUACUGUCCAUGCUCCCACUUCUCAAAUACCUACAAAUACCCAACAACCCCACUCUACAAGGAAACCUACACAUCAUCUUACAUCUAACACACCUUCAAAUAUCCAACUUCCACAACCUACAAGGCAACUGAAACAUCAUCCCAUAUCUCAAACAUUUACAAAUUUCCCACCUUUCCUCUCUACUCCAAGUCCACAAAUGUCUACAAUUCAUGCUCCCACCUCUCAAAUACCUACAUAUAUCCAAUCUCCCCACUCUACUCCUAGUCCACCACAUCUUUCUAAUACACAUAGACCAUAUGAUGUUGUAUCUGGUGGUGAUCCACAUGCAUCAUCAUCAUUAUGUGAUGAUUCGUAUCCGAUAGCUGGGAGUACAGAUCCUACUGAUAGGCGUAUAUGGAUCCGUCCGGGACCACAGUUAAUGUAAGAUUUUUUAUAAGAUUUUCCGUUUAAUUCUAUAAUAACUUGUAUCCUUGU